rnacentral:lncRNA from 1 species
UUGUGUGACAGAGUUACUUCAGCCGAGUUCAUAGACUUAUUUCAGCAGAAGAACUUGAUGAAACACUCCUCAUGAACCUGAAGACAACACUGUUGAUUUUGUUUGCGGUGCUCAAUGAUGCAGAGGAGAAGCAAAUUGUGAACCCUGCUGUGAGAGAGUGGCUUAACAGCUCAAGCAUGCUGUCUUUGAUGCAGAGGACUUAUUUGAUGAGAUUGACACUGAAGCUUUGCGAUGCAAGCUGGAAGGUGAGGAUCAAACCCACAAUAGUUAACCAACAAGGAUCUUUUUGAUUGUUUGAAAGAAGAGUCUUUGAUGAUUUGAAAGGAGAGGGUUGCUUUAUUUCUGUUGGAUGCGUAAUUAAAUCUUAUUUGGAGUUGAACAAGGAUUAGAUUAGCUGUAUAAUUAGUGGUAAACGCCUUUUUCUAAGGGUCAUUUAGACUCCUAUUACGAUUAAUUUGUUGUUUCUAAUUUGGACUUAUAGGAACAGACCAAAUAUGUUCACACGUGGCAUCGCUCAAGUCAUCAUCAUUUCAGACUGAAAAUCAGCCUUCAAGUGUCUGUUGAGCCAAUAAACCUUUCUAGAUAUAUCAAGUGCAAUGGAAAUUCAUGAGUUACAUAGAGAUUUGUAAACAUUUUGAAGAUUGCAACACCUGCAAGUGAGAUAGGCGGUGACGAAAUCAGAGCUGAUUUUGAAGCCUCUGAUGCCCCUGUUGUUGCAAGUUGCACCUGAGAACAUGUUUUUUUUUUCUUUGGGGUAAAAAAACUGGCAACAUGUUCGGAGCUGACAAUUCAAUCCCUGAUGAACUAGAGAAGCGAAGCUCCGGUAAGGAAUUGGUCAAGGUUGUGACAGGGAUGAUUGAUGGUGAAAUGGAUGCUAUUUCUUAUUGCAGCCUGUUCUCAAAGUUCUUGUUGGCAAAUGCAAGAGAUGGAGUAUUUUGAUUGGGAGGAGAUAUAAUGACAUGGCUUGACAAUUCUAGAACAGCCCAUCAUUAAUCCCAGAAAAAAUCCAGUUUCUGCUAAACAAUCACUUAUGGCAAGGCCAACUCUGUAAAUGGAAUUUGUGAUCCCUUGAAAUUGUACACAUUUUUUCUUUUUGAGGAAUUUAAUCAAACAGUAUUCUAAUGUAUUAUGAUAGCACUACACGCUUUUGUUGUAACAAAUUACAAGGAGGAAUUUGGAUUGAGUUUCUUGUAUAAGCACACCUUACACAAAUUUGGUAUAUUUUCUUCCAGCAAGUCUGUUUAUUAACCCCCUUAUCUGAAAUUAAUUGUUAAAAGUUUUGAUUCAUCUUUAAUCAGUGUCUAACCCUUGUUGAAUAACACUCCUCUUUCUAAUUUAUAUUUGAAGUUUGAGGUUUCAAUUUCAAUUGUGGGCUUUGAUUUUACAGAUUUUGUUUGUCAAUUUCAGUUUGGACAAAGCAUAUGCAAACAAAAUAAGCAUUUUAUGUUAUACUUUUGAAAUAGGUGUUGAUUUGAUUUAAUCAUAAGUUUUGCUGGUGCAUUUACUAGGCUAUCAUUCAAUACUUUUGAUCAUAGAACUUCUUUGGUCGAUAUUAUCUUUGUUAAGUUUAACCAUAAAUUUAGAGAGGGGACUUCAACAGAUUUAUAAUCUCAUCAUUAUAGUAUUAAAAAUUAGAGAUUAAGGCAUUGUCUAUUAUCUGAAUUCUGCUUACUUUUAGUUCAUAUGUUUACAUCUUAGCAUAUUCAUGCGAUUAGUGCGGCUCAUACCACAAAGGCAACUUUAGGCUCAUCAAGUGCUAAGCAAUGUCAAGCUUCCAAGUGACAAGUUCUCUACAUAGUUUGAGACCUACACUUACUAGAUAUUAGAUCAUUUCGAUCAUUUCCAUAUGUUUAUAUGUAAUUGACAUGUUAUAACAAUUUUUGUAGCGUUAUAUAAUUAUUUAGCAAUUUAAUUAUUUCUUUGCAUCAAGAAAUAGUUCUUAAGUUAUUAAAAAAAAAAAAAAAGAUUUAAAAAAAAAGAUUUGUUGAUGCUUAAAAAGCAUCAAGAACAGGUAGUUUCUUGACGGUUUAGUGACGUUUCAUAACUGUAGGAGGCUUUUUCUUCCGACAGCUGUAAAUGGGCUGGGUUGCCGUAAAGGGCAGACUGAUGAAAUUGUCCCCUUUUGUCUGAGCUAGAAAAUUAAGCCCCAAAAUACUUCGAAAGGGCAGCAGAGCCUUAGGAAGUAUUUUGGUUACCCUCACCAACUAAAACAACAACAACUUACAGGUAAUUUCUUAAUGCUUACAGAUGAACUCUUGAGCUUGGCAUGAGAGACAUGUGGCAUGGAAGCAAAAUCAACAUGAGUUUAGCACUGAGGGGAAAUUUAGGCUCUCUUGGGGGAAAAAGGGAAGUGUUAAGGUGAGAGAGGAGAAGUUUGUAGGAGAUUUAGCUAAGAAAGGAGAAAUAUAGAACAAUGCUCUUCUGGCAGCUUGACAGAUGCUCUGUCUGCCAGAAAAGGAAGAUGGAGAAGAAAUGUGAAUAGUGCACGAGUUUGCUAGAUUUUUGCAGGUAAGAGAGGAAGCUUGCUCUCUGGGUCUGAGUUGAGUUUUGUUAGGUGGAAGAGACCUCAUUUUAUAGCUCCUGGAAACCAUCACUUCCCAAGAAACCCUAAUGGCUUCUACCCAUUUUGGCCAAGCUUUUCCAUUCCUUUCUCAUUUCCUUCCUUGACUUUACCCCUCUUGAUGAAAUCCUCUCUACCUAUUUGCACCAGAUCAGAGUUUUUUGAAGCUUAAGGCCCCCUUUUCCCGCAGUUGUCUCAAUGGGAGACUUUCAUUCCUAGUCAUUUCCUUUAUUGCUUUCCUUUCUUUUUUUCAUGGCCAAGUCUGGUGGGGAAAGGAGUUGGGAUAAAUAUGCUAGUUUGAAGGGUGCUUCUCUUCUUGGCAUCUUACACACUAAUACCCCUUGGUUCCUUGAAUGUUUUGGCUUUGAAACUUGCUCCCCUCCAUGUAUUGGAACCUCCCAGCAGCCCUGGUCAAUGAAUCUUCAGACCUUCUCUUCGUGGCUUUUAUUUUUUUAUCAACUGGCUAGGGCUUUUGUGGCUCAUUGGGGCAAUUGUAUGGGCUAAGGUGGUUCAUUAAGUAAGUGGGCUAUUUUUAUUAAACAUUGAGCUUUUUGGUUGAGUCACUAGGCUAUUUUGAUUGGGCUAUUGGGCUAUUGUUUCCUCUCUUGUGCUCACCCACAUGUUUGGACCAAAGAAAUGAGCUUGAGUCCUGAGGCUCCCAAGCGACCCGAGACUUUCCAUUUAUCGGUCCAUCAAUGGGCCUCAUGUUGAUUUAUUACCAUCCAUACCACACCCCACUCAAGCAAGCCCCGGGCAUUUGAGUGGCUUGGGCCCACUUAGGCUUGUAGUGUGGUUGGGUGCAAAAUAACGAUUUCGUGCUUGGCAUGUUUUAAUUUUAUCAUCCAUGGGAAAGGCUGCGAUGUUUGAUUUCGGCAUGGGCUUGUAGAGCUGGUAUGCUUUAUUUCAACUCCUAGCAUGACGAAUUAUUUAUUUAGCAUGGCACGUGAAUUACAACUCGCAUGUGGUGGGUUUUUGUGUACUACACCUUACGCCUCUUCUUAAUAGAACAUCGUUUCUGAUAAUUUAUUUGGGCCCAACCGUGAAUUUUUUGGAUCUCAAUAAUAACCAUCAUGAAACAUUACAUUUUGACUGACAUCAAGAAAUGGGGUAUCCCUUUCUUGAUAGUGGCAUCCAUGAUGCCUUCCAAGCCGUCAAUUAAGGGCUAUCGCGAUGCAUUUUAGUUGUCAGCAAAAGGUGUUUUUCUUGUACUAUAUUCACUCAAAAUCGUGUUUCAUUUAAGAUUAGUAGUAUGGUUGAAUACCAUUUGUUUUGUUAAAGAAUAUUAUACAUUAGGGAUUUUUGUAGAAAUGUCAUUUGAACUUAUACCUUAGUUUCAAUUUGUCACCUUGAAGAAAAAUUUAAGAGAAAUAUCACCUUAAUUUUUUAAAAUCCAUGAUUUGUCAUAUGACUUUAAGAUCAUCCAAUUUUCCAUCCAUUUUAAGGGUAUUUUAGACUUUUCAUUUUCAAGGAAAAAAAAGAGAUGAAAAAAGAGACCUCUCUCUUACUUUGUCCCCCAACCCAACCCCACCCGCCCCCAAAAACACAUCACAUAGGAUUGCCUCCCCCUUCCCCACUUUUCUUUUUUCUUUUUGUCAUACUUUUCCACUGUGUUUAUGUUGAAGGAUCUAAAGUUUGCUUGGUCACCAUCUUUUACGUAGGCUUCCUAAUUGUUGGUUUGGGUGGGUUGUGGGAAUUUGUGUGUGGAGGGCAAGGCUCUAUCUGACAGGACCCACCUCGAAUUCCUCGAAACCCGAGACGAAUCUUGUAGAAUUUCCGACAUCACACCGAUGCCGGGUCCACUUCUGAACUAAAUCCUCUUUUCCAAAAUUAAGGAAAAAUAGUACGAGGCUUUCUGCCAAAAUUUCGGCAGUCUUCCCUAUAAAUUUAACGUUUCAGCUUUGGAGGCCGUUCUUUCAUUUCUGCUUUGGUGGCCGGAUGAGAGAACGGCCGGCUAAAACGUGGCCAGCUGGCACUGCCGUCACGAGAGAGAGAGAGAGAGAGAGAGAGAGAGAGAGAGAGAGAGAGAGAGAGAGAGAGAGAGAGAGAGAGAGAGAGAUGUUUAUCAAACCAUUUUUGCCAAAAUUACGAUUAUGCAACUGAGGGUAUUUUGAUCGUAUCUUUUUCGUUAUAACUCCGAUUCAAGCCCACUACAUAUCUACGGACUCAUCUCGCCGUGCUCUAUGCAAUUGUAUAGUUGAAAUUCCCAAAUUCCAUCCCAGUCAAAAAGUCAACUUUAAACCUUAUAAAAUAUUCUAAGGGCAAAAUGGUCUUUUAUCUAAUUAAAUUAAUAAUUGAAAAUUUAUUUAGGACCGGGUCGUUACACUGUCGUUGAUGGACUGUGCGAUGGCACUCACACAAAGUCCUUAAGAAUAAAACACACACACACCAUGAAGAGAGUAAAACAAAUGCACAAAGAUUUAUAAAGGUUUGGCCUCCUGCCUACAUCCUCUUGGUGAUCCACCCGAGAAAUUCACUUGUACGUAAGAACAACUUUGGUUACAACUAAACCCCCUUAGCUUUCAUAAGAACCCUAGAUCUCUUUUCUCCCACCCUUGCUCCAACCCUUUGAUGCCCUUGUAAACACUCAAGAAUUCAUCCUUGAAUUCUAUCAUGUGUUACAUCUUCUCUUCUCCCCUUUGCCAACCUAACCCUACAAGUUAUAUUUAAAAUUCAUUGGACUUUAAGUACAAGUUAACUAGGAAUAGGAAACAUAAAAGACCCCAAAAAUUGGAGAAAAUAUGUCUAGAUCUCAUUAGGAAAUUGCACAACACGUGCGAUCCUCUCGAGCGCCUGCAAAAUCAUCCCUUUGCCGCUCGAGCUGCCGAUAGCUCAUGGGAUGGGGGAAUUAGAAAUUUUUUUUUUUCAAUUUUAAUUGUUUAAAAGAUAUACAAUUUAUUAAUAAUAAUUUUUCCAUUUUUAAAAUACCCUUGAAAAUAGAAAGAUUAAAAUGCCCUUAAAAAUGGAUGGAAAAUUGGAUGGUGUUAAGGUCAGAUGACAAAUCAUGGAUUUUGAAAAAUUAAGGUAACGUUUCUCUUAAAUUUUUCUUUACAGUGACAAAUUGAAAUUGAGGUAUAAGUUCAAGUUACAUUUCUGCAAAAAUUCUUAUACAUUAUGAUAUUCUAACAAUAAUUGGCUAAAAUUGAUAUGUUCCCUCUUUUAUUUUCUUUUUCUCUUUUCCUUUUCAUUUUAUGAUCCAAUCCUUUUCAUAUAUUUUUGUUCAAGACUUUGUUUUAUAAUGCUCUAUUACUAAUUUGGUACAGGUCCCUAAAAUCUCGGAGCCGCCUUAGUACAUUCAUAACGUACAUGUUCAGAGUUCAAGAAUAAUGUAUAGAAUGUGAAAUUGACGAUGCCGGCCUUUAUGAGGCAACAUCUUUAUUUCUUUGGUUAUUCCAGUUUAGAAUAUUUGCACAAAUGAGAUGACUCCAAGCAUAAAGUCACAUUCGACCAAAAAGCAUAAAGUCACACACAAAAAGAACACGGACAAUUGCUAAGUUUAUCCUUGUACCCUUAUUUUAUUGAUCCGACCCAAUUGAAAAAUAAAAAAAGAUGAUAAAAAAUAUUGUUCACUGCUUUAAAAUCUAUGAGUAGAGUCCUCCAUUUGAAAUUUGGUCAUUAUACAAAAUUGGAAUGAAAAAAGAAAAUCCUAAAGCUAUAUUUGAUAUAUUUCAUUUUCAUUUUUUGCUGGGUGUUAGGGCUCGUCAAUGGGCCGGGCCUGGCUAGCCCGGCCCGAAUUUAAUGGGCUUGGGCCAGGCCGGCCCAGGCUUUAAAGAGGAGAGAGAAAAUAUCAGGUCGAGUUUUUUAAGAAAAUUCAAAGCCCAAGCCUGACCCAUGAGCCGGGCUUGAGAAAGCCCAUCGGGCCGGGCCGGGCCUAAACGGGCCCUACUUCAUUCAAAAAAAAUCAUUAACUUAAUCAUAAGGUCAUUUUAGUCCAAAUUUGAGAUUAAACUCACUUAAUUCUAAUAUUUUUACUUCAAACCAAAUUCAUAAAACACCCAAUAAAGUCACACAACUUGUAAGAUUUUCCACAAAAAUAAUAAAACCAAGUAUUAUUUUUGAGGUUAUUACAUAAUUAGAUCGUAAUACGUUUUAAAAAAUAAUUUUUAAAAAUAAUAUUAAUAAGUAUCAAAAAAAUAUUUUUUUAAAGGAUGGUAUGAAUAAAUAUGCAAAUAUUUGGUGAUGUGUUCAAGAAAAGGAUGAUUAUAUUUGGUGGUACGAUUAUGUUUCGUGAUACGAUUAUAUUUAGUGAUGUGAUAUGUUGUUCAUCUUAUAUAUAUAUAUAUAUAUAAUUGUUGAACUAAUAAUUGACACAAAUUAAUGUGUUAAUCAUCCAAUUAUAAACUAGGAGUGAAUAAAGAAAAGUAAAUGAAAUGAAACAAAUUAUAUGUGUGAUUUAAGUGAUAUAAUCCUAAACCUAAACUCUUAUUUAUACAUAAUUAUAUAUGUAUGCGGGCCUAACGGGCCGGACUUUUGUGGGCGUGUCGGGCCGGGCUUUCUUGGGCUUAAUCAGGCUGGACCUAUGGGUCAGGCCGGGCUUCAAACACCCCAACACGAGCCUAGCCUAGCCCGCCUUGGGCCGGGCCAUCUCAAAGCCCAUAACGAGCCGGAUCGGGCUUUUUUCGAUUGGCCGGGCGGGCCCCCUCGACCCAUGAGCCCGCGGGCCAAAUGAUGAGGCCUACUGGGUGUUCAAUUUUUCUUGUUUCUUGUUGAAAAGAAAAAUGAUAAUUAAUAAAAUCUGAUUUGGUGGUUGUGCUCGUCACAAAUCAAUGAAAUGACAGCAGUGAUUUUGCAAGACAGCAUACCUUCUCUUGGGGUGCUUUUCAUUUUGCAACAUUUCUUUACGUGUAAUUUCCAGAGGAGGGUUUAUCAUUGUAUAUAGCUCUUCGGGUGGUUUUUUCUGCAAAACAAAUGUCACAAGGAAGGAGGAGAAACGGAAAAGAUUUACUUGGAAUGUCUCAAGUCUCCUUUGAGAUAAAGGCAUCGAAUGCACAACAUUGUUUUUGUGCUAUUUCAUAAUUAAAGUGUGCUUCCCAAGUCUCCUUUGCGUUUUGUAACUUGUAAUGUUUGUUUUUUUGUUUCCCCUGUUUUGUCUUUUAUAAAAGAAAGAGGAAUGCUAGCAACCUUCUCUCUAAUCUUCUCUUUUGGACCUUCUCCCUUUUCUUUUUGACAAGUGUCAUUUUCCAUACACUUAAAACAAUGACAUUAAUGCAUCACACAAUUUAGUUUUUGUUUUCCAAGUUUACCAUUUUAAAAUGUAUUGGCUUUUAUAUUUCCUUCAAUUAUUCACAUUUUGUUAUAACUUGUUUAGCACAUUAUUUUUUUUAAUUUAAAAAAAGUCAUAUUUUUUAAAAAUAAAAAUAAAGUUUGUUUCAUGACAUUGUUAUCAUUUUUAUUUUGUUUUUAACAAAACACGCAUUCUCUUUGGAAAAAUUAAAAAUUAAAAAACAAUUCAGUUUUUAUUUUCUUAUUUAAUUUUUAACAAGCUAGUAAGAAAGUUAUAAAAAAAAAUUAGCUUGUUAUUAAAAAAAAAUUAAUACAUUUAAUAAGGGUAAAUUUGGAAAACAAAAACUAGUUUGUGUGAUGCAUUAAUGACAUUGUUUUUAGUUUAAGGAAAGUGACACUUGUCAUGAGAAGAAGGGAGAAGGUCCAAAAGAGAAGGUUAGAGAGAAGGUUGUUAGCACUCCCCAUAAAAGAAAUACAGGUCUGAACCACACGGAUCUACUUGCAUAAUAAUGGACCAAAUUUAUGAUUUUUAGAAAGAACCUUCUACUGGUGGAAUCUUGGGCUACUGUUGUGGCUCUCCUCUGUGUGCCUCCUUUUUAGAAUGGUAAAAUAUUCAAAAUACCAGAAAAUGUUCAUGAUUAAUGCAAAUAUUAAGAAUUGAAAUUAUUAAUUAAAUGAAGAUAAUAUGGUAAAUUCACACUUUUUCAUAUUAAAAAAAUUAAAAUUAAAAGAAAUAUCAGAUAAUUACUCUUAUUUUUAUGGAACACAGCUACCCAUUAUCUUUUUUAAUUAUAAAAUAAAUUUAAAUUAUAAAAAAAAAAUCCUCUCACAUGCACGGAAGCGCGUGCUCAGAGGCUAGUUAAAAAUAAUGAACUUUGCUUCUGAUGUCUAUACCAGACCCACUCAACCUGCUUUAUGAUUAUACAAAGAACAAACUCGUCCUUAGACUCAUUUGGUUAAACUUAGAAAAUAAUGAAACAAAAAUAUACACACCCACAAGUAACACAGCCAGGAUUGAAAACAACUGGACAAAGAAAGGCAUGUUAAAACAGAAUUUUCAACAACUCAUCACCAUUAGACAAGAAAAAGAAAAAUCAAUACAGAAACAGAAAGAACAGAGAAUAAAUGUGGUGGAAGAAAAACGUUGAAGCCAUUUGUGAAUCCAACAACACUACCACUCUGUUUCUCUCCUUUUGUUCAGGCGGAUCUGCAUAUAUCCUAAGGCGUAUUACGGAAACAACUUCUUGCCGUUAUACUUGAAUGUUGUGGAUGCUUCAACGUUGCCAUCUGGGUGGAGUGGAUUUGUCCAAUUCACCUUCACUAUGGUUAAUCAACUAGACAGACAUAAGUCAGAAACAAUAGGUAUAUAGGUCCAAAUUGUUGUUAUUUGAAAGGCUUCUAAAUUUUAACAUUUUGAUUUCUAAAUUUUGUUUUAAUAUUUCGGCCCACUUAGUUCUUCUCAAAAUAUGUCAUCAAUAUCGUUGAAAGGUUGAACUUAGUGAAUUAUUAUAGUGCAGUACGGUAAAAUAGGCACAUGAUAUAAUUUGUCCACAUGUUCUAAUAUAAGUGAAUAUUUAUUGAUAUUAUUUUCAAAAAUAAAAAAUAUCAACCAUUACAUCCUCCCAUAUUAUAAUACAUAUACAAAUUAUACCACAUUAUCAUACUCUAAUACCAUUUUAUAAUUUCUCGUACUUAGGAGGUAUAGAGCGAGUCAAUGACAUUACAUAAUAUAUAAUUGUUCAUAUAAUGGGGCAACUAACGUGAUCAACAAGUUGUGGUGAUUAAUUUAACAUAAUAAAAAACAUACCAUUUACUAUGUAACAAUUUGUUCUUUUAAAUUGGAUUGUCAUCACUUUAAUAUGUUAUGUUUCUUAUUCUAGUCUCCCAUGUUAAGUGCUUCAGCAUUGUUUGUGGUGUGUACACAAAUUUUCUUAUAAAAUGUUUUAAUGCUUCUCACAUGUAUAUCAGAUAUAGACAGUUGAUGUGACUUAGAAAUCAAAUUGUCAAUAAAGAAAAAAAAUAUAAUUGGUGAUCGAGGUCCAAUUUAAUAGAAAAUAGUCUUAAUUUGUAUAUUAAAGGUUUCAGAUUCGAAUCCUCACUGCAUUAUUGUUGUAUGCGUACACGAGAAAUUCUAUUUCCCAAUAAUUUAGAUUAUCACUUAUACUAAAAAAAAUAUAUAUAAUAAGUUUUACGAAUGCAAACAUAAAAUUACACCAAACAAUAAUGGAAUAGAAAGAUGGAAGUUUUUUUUUUUUCCUACAUCUAAAGUAUACUUUAUAUAUAUAUUUAUUAUGGGAGUUAUAACCGUUUAAUUUUCAGUUUUUAUUUUCUAUUUAUUGUGUUAAUUUUUAUGGUUUAAUAUGUAUGGAGAUUACAAGUAUUGGAUGUCUAUAAAGGGCCACUCCUCCUUCACAUCUGAAACAAACCACCAUCUCAUUUCUGUAUUUUCAUACUUUCAUAUAUUUUCUACUUUCCAGAUUAUUAUUUUUGGGCAACGGUUUUGUGACUUGGAGAUUUCUAUCCGAUUGUUAACAUGCUCAUAACGGACCUUGAGCUUGCGUAUUGGGGAUCGUAUCUUGGAGCCUUGUAGACCUUUAUUACGUGCAUGUAGGGAGGCUACAAAUGCUUUAGGUCAGCGUCUUUGACGUACUUUUGCUUUCUUUUUUUACUUAUUUCUUCGUUUCUUUAUUUUUACUUUACUUUUAAAUCUUUAUUUUAUGUAUUAUUUAUAUUUAAAAGUUUUGAAUAAGAGUUUUACAGAAAAGGAAAAACACAAUUUCAAAUAACACAAAUUUCUCGUUUUUUGUUCUUAAAAAAGAAGAAGCAUUGAUUGGGGAGUUAUGGUAAACUCAGUUUCAAUGGUUGCGAUGAGAGGCGGUGGCGGCGAGGAGAGGACGAAGGCUUUGCUGCCGACGGGGUGGUGUGGCUGGCUGCUUGGUCCUGGGUUCUCCUUUAAUUCUCUGUUUUCUUUUUUCAUUUUCUUUUUCUCUUAGAGUUAUUGAUGUUAAGUGAAUGGACAGAUGCCAAAAUAGGGACAGAAGAUGUGAACCCAAUUAUAUACAGCUGCUGCUAUAGCUGAUUACAUAAAGUAACAAAUUAAUUAAUGCUUGAGUGGAGGACAGGCUUGAGUGGAAGAAUUGAUUAAGGCUUGAGUGGAAGACAAACUUCAGUGGAGGAAAGUAUAGAUAAGGAAAGCAUGCCUCGUUUAACGGCUUUAUCUAAUAAAGAUUACUUGUUGGCACUUGGAGUUUCUUAGGAAUGCUGGUUUUGUUUCCUUGGUGGACUUGAAAGGUGGUGCCUUGGCUCGGACAUCUCCCAAGACAUACAACUGCUCAUUAGCUGAAUAUCUCGCUCUCUUUAAAGAGAUCGAAGCAAACACAAUUUGCAAUUUGUGUGAUUCAAGCAUGAAUAUCUGAUAUAGUAACUAUACCAUUUGUUGGUUUGAUAAGAAAAGUUUGGUUAGCGAGGAUGAAACCAUAAAGUUCCCAAAACACACAAAGAACACGGACAAUUGCUAAGUUUAUUCUUGAGUUCACACAUAUUUGCACAAAUGAGAUUAUUCCAAGCAUGAUUAUACCAUUUGUUGGUUUGAUGUGAAAAGUAUGGGCAACGAGGGGUAAAACCAUACAAACACACACGAAGAACGUGGACAAUACUAAAUUUAUCUUUACGUUAUUGAUCCGACCUAACUGUAAAAUAAAAAAGAUGAAAAUAUAUAAUGUUCAGUACUUAGAUCUAUGAGCACUUGCACAAAACAUCACUUUUGGUCUUUGGUAAAUUUUUAAAAUAAAUGAAUUUUUUACUUAUUUGUGAACUGAAAUGCCUCUAAAAAAAUAAUGAUAGUUCGAAGAAUUUGAUAGAAAUUAAAAAAUAUCCUCAAAUUACUUGGAAUUGAAGACCACAUAGGCAAAAACACGAAAUUGAAACCUCACUUUAAUGAUAAAAAUGGUAAACUACAAAGACAAAAAUGACGUCUUGCCUUAUAAAUAAUUGGAAUUUGCUGGUGAUAAUAGUCGAUAUCAUCUUUUGUCGGUCCGACCUAAAAAGAAGAAAAAGUUAAAAGCAUCUUGUACCAAUUUUUGCCAAUGUGGGCCCAAACAAUUUGAAGAAGUCCACCGGCAAUUUCUCAAAAGCUAUUGUGUGAGUGUGAAGCUAAACCAAUAUUAUUUUGCAUAUCCGACCCCACAUCCCCAUGUGAUGUGAGGCUACAGAGGUGUUUCCAAAACGAAAUAUGAUAUUUCAAAACGUAGCUAUGUAUAGAGUCAUUUGUAUUUGCUUUCACAAUAACAUUUGAUUUUAUAUUUAUACAUUCUGAUAUUUUAACAAAUAAAUUGACUAAAUUUGGCCAACAGGAUUUAGCCGAAUAGAAAAGUUCUUAUUUAUGGACUAGUAAUUUUAAAUUUAAAAUUUAGACUAUCGCAUGUAUUUAAAAAAAACUAAACAAUUGGCUUAAUUUGAUAUAUUUCCUUUUUUUCCUUUUUGCAUUUUAUGCUGGUUGCCGUUAUUAAGUUUUAUCCUUAUUUUUUGUUGAAAAGAAAAUUGAAAAAAAUAAUAAUAAUUCCUACAGCUAGCAACUUCUCCACCUACAAAAAAUAAUAUUUUUUGUUUUAUCCUCAUGUGAGGCUACAGAAAAUUUUUGAAAACGAAACUGGAUAUUUUAUCUCUAACGACAGCUUUCAUACUUCGUUUACCCUGUGUUUCCAAGUUGUGCUAGCUAUUUGCAAACCUUGGAAUAUUACUUCAUCCAAAUCCCUUGCAGAGAAAAGAAAGAUAUGGCUUUGAUCGGAGAGGCCCUCAUCUCUGCUACCAUCCAGACGUUGUGUGACAAAAUUGCUUCGCCUGAGUUCACCGACUUAUUUCGGCAGAAAAAGCUCGAUGAACAACUCCUCAACAAGCUGAAGACGACGCUGUUGACCUUGUCCGUAGUGCUUAAUGAUGCAGAGGAGAAGCAAAUUGAGGAACCUUUAGUGAGAGACUGGCUUGACAAUCUCAGACAUAAUGUCUUGGCUGCGGAGGACUUACUGGAUGAAAUCGACACUGAAGCUUUGCGAUGCAAACUGGAAGAAGGUGAAGGUCAAACCCACAAUUUAACCAAGAAGGUACGUGAUUUUUAUCAACGCAUGAAUGUUGAGAUGAAAGAUUUAUUAGAAAGAUUAGAACAAUUUGUACAAGAGAAAAGUGCUCUUGGUUUGAGAGAAGGUGCUGGGAGGAAGGUUUCACGAAGAACAACAACUUCCUUGGUUCAUGAACCUUGUGUCUAUGGUAGAGAUGAAGUCAAAGAAAAUCUGUUGCCAAUUUUGUUAUCUGAUGAUGCAAGUAAGGAUGAUGUGUCUGUCCUCACCAUUGUUGGAAUGGGUGGGAUUGGCAAGACAACCCUUGCCCGACUGCUUUAUAAUGACGAUGAGGUGAAAGAACAUUUUCCACUUCACGCUUGGGUUUGUGUUACGGAAGACUAUGAUUCUAAUAGGAUAACUAAAACUCUUCUAGAGUCAGUCACCUCAAAGUCUUCUAAUAUGACAGAUCUAAAUUUACUUCAAGUUGAACUAAAAGAACAACUCAAGGGAAAGAAAUUCUUAUUUGUUUUGGAUGACCUAUGGAAUGAGAAAUAUGGUGAUUGGAAACGCCUCCAAACUCCUUUUACUUCUGGGGCAAGGGGAAGUAAAGUCAUUGUAACAACACGGAGCCAACAUGUAGUAUCUGUCCUGCAAAGUGUUCAUGUUCAUCACUUGGAACCCUUGUCGCACGAAGAUUGCUGGUUCUUACUUGCAAAACAUGCAUUUGGAAAUGAAAAUUGCAGUGAUCCAAACUUGGAAGAAAUUGGCAAGAAAAUUGCACACAAGUUCAAUGGGUUGCCUUUAGCUGCAGAAACACUUGGGGGUUUGUUACGUUGCAAUAUAGAUUCAGAGGAAUGGAAUACAAUACUAAAUAGCAGUAUUUGGGAGCUACCCUAUGAUAAAUGUGACAUUCUUCCGGCUCUUGGGUUGAGUUACCAUUAUCUCUCCUCCCAGUUAAAACGAUGCUUUGUUUAUUGUUCAAUUUUUCCAAAGGAUUAUGAGUUUAAAAAGGAAGAUAUAGUUCAAUUUUGGAUGGCAGAAGGUUUAAUUCCAAAAGCUGAGAAUGGAAAGAGCAUAGAAGCGGUAGCUAGAAAAUACUUUGAUGAGCUGUUGGCACGAUCGCUAUUUCAAAAGUCAAGCAAAUCCGGUUUCACAAUGCAUGAUCUCAUUAAUGACUUGGCCAUGUUCAUGUGUAAGGCAUUUUGCCUUAGGUUGGAAGGGGGGGAAUCACAUGUCGUAGAAAAAGUUCGGCAUUUUUCAUAUGCUAUGGAAAGAUUUGAUGCAGCUCCAAAAUUUGAGCCAUUACAUAGGGCUAAGUUUAUGCGGACCUUUCUACCCAUAUCAUUAAAUUUUGUUUCCACUUCUUAUGUAACUAAAAAGGUUCUACAAGAUUUGUUGCCGUCACUAAGAUGUUUACGGGUGUUAUCAUUGUCACAUUAUCAAAAUGUUACUGUGUUACCUGAUUCUAUUGCAAACCUCAUUCACUUGCGCUACUUGGAUCUUUCCGGUACCGCAAUUGAAAGGUUACCUGGGGUACUUUGCAAUCUCUACAACUUGCAGACAUUACUAUUGUCAAAAUGUUUCUCACUCCUUGAAUUGCCUGCAGACAUUAGAAAAUUGACUAAUUUACAGAAAUUGACAUUGCUCGGUUGUAGUUCUCUUAAUAAAUUGCCUGCAGGCAUGAAGGAGUUGACUAAUUUGCAUCAUCUUGAUGUCAGUGGAACUAAAAUUGAAGAGAUGCCGGUGCAAAUGGGUAGAUUGAAAAGUUUGAGAACAUUGACUGCAUUUGUUGUGGGCAAAUCUACUGGGUUAGGCAUAAGAGAACUGAGGCAGUUCCCGCAACUUCGAGGAAAACUAUCAAUUUUGAAGCUACAAAAUGUAGUUGAUGCGAGGGAUGCACUGCACGCCAAUAUGAAGCACAAGAAAGAUCUCAAGGAGUUAAAGUUUUCAUGGGGUGCGGAGGAUGCUGAUGAUUCCCAAAAGGAGAAAGAUGUACUCGACAAGCUCCAGCCUUGCGUGAAUUUGGAGAAAUUAUCCAUCAAAUUCUAUGGUGGAACCAAUUUUCCGAAUUGGUUAGGAGACUCGUCUUUUUCUAACAUACAAGUCAUGCAUCUCAGUGACUGUAGUUAUUGUUGGUUGCUCCCACCAGUUGGACGGCUACCGGCACUCAAAGAGCUCUGUAUAAAAAGAAUGAAGUCUUUGAGGACGAUUGGCGUUGAAUUCUAUGGCAGAAAUGGAGCUUAUCUGACUCAGCCAUUUCGAUCUCUGGAGAAGCUAGAGUUUAGGGGGAUGCCGGAGUGGGAGGAAUGGGUACCAAGUGGAAGUGCAAGUGGAGGUGAAUAUGGUCCAGACUUUCCUCGUCUCCAAAAGCUGAUUCUAAACGAGUGUCCGAAGCUAAGAGGAAGUUUGCCUUGUGAGUUGCCUUGCUUGAAGAAGCUUACGGUGUAUGGGUGUAAGGUUUUACAUGAUGGAAGGACCGCUACCGCAACUACCAAUAGUGUUAACUAUAAAUCUCUGGAAGAAUUGGAUAUAAGUGGUGGAUGCCAAACUCUGUUAUCAUUAUUAGAGACAAAGCUCCUGUCCCGACUUCGGAUUCGAAAUGUUGUUGACAUACAGUGCUUGCCCAACUGCAAUCGUCUUCAACGUUUGACUCUUUGCCUAACGCUGUCAUCGUUUCCCAAAGAUGGCCUACCCACUACAUUGACAUCACUUUAUAUAAACAAUUGUAGGAAAUUAGAAUUCCUACCUCAUGAGAUGUUGGCCAAAUUAACAUCGCUUGACUAUUUGUGCGUACAAAAUAGCUGUGAUUCAAUGAGGUCCUUCCCGUUGGGCAUUUUUCCCAAAUUGACGACGCUUCAAAUUCGUGGUUGUGAGAAUCUGGAAUCUUUUUCCUUGAUUGAAGAAGAAGGAGCUGUUGACAAUCUCAGCCAUCUCAAUUCCUUGCGUGUCUAUAACUGUCCAAAAAUGGUGUGUUUUCACGAGGGAGAAUUGCCCACUCCCAACCUGAGUCACUUUGUAGUCAUUGGUUGCGAGAAUUUGAAGUCAUUGCCCGAACGCCUUCACACCCUCACUGCCCUUCGAUCUUUGAAUAUAUGGAAUCUUCCGAAUCUGGAGUCAUUUGCAGAAGAUGGGGGUUUGCCUCCCAACCUCCGAUCUUUUAUCAUUAGGAAUUGUAAGAGACUGAGGGCACUUGACUCAGUGGGUUUGCAAGCACUUGUCUACCUUCAGAUCGAUGGAAGUGACCAUGUCUUGGAGACGUUGCUGCUCCCUACCACUCUUCACACUCUCUGCAUCUCUGAUCUAUCAACUCUGAAAUCUUUGGACGGAAAGGGUCUUGGACACCUCACUUCUCUUCAAACUCUAAAAAUUUACAGCUGUCCAAGUCUUCAAUGCCUGCCAGAAGAGGGUUUGCCGCCAUCUCUUUCUCAUCUGAGUAUCCGCUGUUGUCCUACCCUGGAGGAAAGGUAUAAGAAUAAAACGGGACAAGAUUGGGCAAAGAUAUCUCACAUUCCUUGCAUCGAGAUAGGGGAAGAAGUGAUCAUAUAAUAUGAGCUAUUCCAUAUUUCACGCUCAACCCUCAACUCUCAAAUCAAAGUCAGGUGAGGUAUGUGCCUUCUCUUACUUUAAAAAACUGCUUCUCUUCUUCUAAUUGAAUACAAAAACCAAAACACAUAUUCUCUUUCUCUUCCAAAAACCCAAAUACAUGUUGGACAUUGCCCAAAUUUGUCUCCAAAUUCCUAGUUUAAAUCAAAUUUAAUGCCUAUGGAUAGUUUGUUAAUAGGUUCAUGCCAUGAAUUAAUCUUUGGACUUUCCCAGGUACUGCAGGUUUGUUAUUAAUGUUGUGGCCUGAUAUUCGUCGUAUCAAUACGUUGAGGAGAGAGAUCGAUCAGCAAUUACAAAAUUGUUAGUGAAUUUAGCUUGUUUAUCAUCUCUCUCCUUUUGUUUGUUAAGUUUUGUUGUUCUAGGUUAAACCCUUGUCCCCGCAUUUCACAGCAACUCUGUGUUUUUCCACUCUGUUUAGAUUUCACUAGCAGGAGAGCCCGCGCGAUGCUGCGGGUUUUGAAAUUGUGUAGACAAAAUUAGAUUGUUUAUAUAUACAAUGAGAUUUAAUUUAUAACAUUAUGUUUAACUACAGGAGUGUAAGUUGCAAAAAAGUAUAUAAUAACAUAUUUUACAGGCUACUUGUUAUGGUAAAAUACUAUACUUGUUUGUAUAUACAUUGAGAUGUUUAUAGUAGGAAGUAGGCAUCAAAAUAGCAAAAGUUGGAUAGUUUUGUACAGAAUGUUAUUUAAUUGGGCAAGCUUUGUUUUGCACUUGCUUCAUGAUUUUUCUUCUCUUUCAUGGAAGUCUUGAUCCUGUUAUAAAAAAAAGUGAGAAAAUAGUAAAUGUUAAUAUUGAUGAAUGGGGGAAAUUGAGUUAGGACAAUAAUCAUAAACAUUUAAUUAUGUAUAAACAGGAAUAAUAUAAUUUAUUGAUUUAAUAAGAAAGUUAUAAAUAGUUUUUCAAUCUAGGAAAUACAAAGUUACAAAAUUAAGAGAACUAAUGAGCAAGUUGUAGAUGGUUUUCUAAUUGAAGUAAUACAAAGUAAACAUAUUUUAAAUUUUGUGUUUGUCUAAAAGAAAAGUUGAAGAGAGGCAAAAUAAUUAUGGUUGAAUAUAUGGAGAAAAGGAUGUCAAUAUAAUGUUUAGGUUUUUAUGUAUUAGGAAUAUAUGACUUUUUUGCUGUUAUUUAGAGCAAAAAUUAUUUAAGGGCUUGACAUUUCUGUUAAAAAACGGGUAGAAUCUACCCUGAAAAAUGGACAUUUUGCCAAAAAAUUCACCUGUAAACUAAUUAGUACUGAAUACCGAUUGGCGAAGGCAAGACAAUCAUAGUUGUGGAGUACAUAGUUAGAAAGAUGAAUGUGCAAACGUACAUCUAACCCCAUGAUAUACAUCUAACCCCAUGUGAACAUGAUUUAUUCUACAACAAUGAUUAUCAAUUUUCUAAUUGCUCAUUUUCCUAACCCUAAUCAUCACAAACCCAAAAUUAACUCUAAAAAUUUCAAAUAAGCAUGGUUCUAAACCAAUUUCUAACUUACUUAGCGAAGUCUUUUCUAUAAAUGAUAGUUGUUGAAGAAAAAGGGAAACGAAAAUAAGCUUUUAGUGUAUAAGUACAUUGAAGCAAAACAUGAAGAGAAUCCAAUAUAUAACUUCAAUAUAUAACUUUAAUUUUCUAUAAGUGUUGAUCUAAAUUUACAUCCCUUACCACUCUUCAAUUUAAAAAUAGUUUUAGCUACAACAAACAACUUCAGAGAGAAGAUUUGGCCCUGUUUUAUAAGGCAAAACCUCUCUAACCACAUGACAUACAUCUAACUCCAUGUGAACGUGAUUUAUUCUACAACAAUGAUUAUCAAUUUCCUAAUUGCUCAUUUCCCUAACCCUAAUCAUCACAAACCCAAAAUUAAUUCUAAAAAUUUCAAAUAAGCAUGGUACUAAACCAAUUUCCAACUUACUUAGUGAAGUCUUUUAUAUAAAUGAUAGUUGUUAAGGAAAAACGGAAACAAAAAUAAGCUUUUAGUGUAUAUGCACAGCACAGAAAUUGCAUGUAGCUUUCCGAUUUUUAUCCCAACUUCGUUUCUGUGGAAUCACAAAACUACAUACGCACAGCACAGGGAAGGGAAAAAAAAAAAAAGGCACAUUUAAGAGACACCUAUCUUCUCAUUCUACAUCACAUCCUCUUUUCCUAGCUUUCCAACCUUGCAACCAAAGCAAACAUCUUUCCUGAUAAAGGGUAGGAAAGAAAGUGGUUGUGUGAAUUGGGAUGAGAGAGACAGAGACAGAGACAGAGACAGAGAGACAAAGAGAGAGAGAGAAAAGAGAAAUCAAAGUAUAUAUAUAAAUAGUAAGUAUAGUUUAUAUCAUGCAAAGUUUUGAUGGUUUCGUUCAAAAAAAAAACAGGGAAAAAGUUUUGAUGGGUAAUUCUAGUAAUAAUGUUCUUAUAAUUCUAUAUAUAUAUAGAUAUCAAACUGUACUACCAUAUUCUUCCUAUAUAUACACUUGGUCGUCAACUACCUCUCUCUCUCUCUCUCUCUCUCUCUCUCUCUCUCUCUCUCUCUCUCUCUCUCUGUGACCUGCAUUUAUACAGAACCAAUUAUUCCAUCUUCACUAUACAUUUUCCUCAUCUUCCCAUUCAUAUUUUAUGGCUCUCUUGUUCUUCCUCCUAAUUCUUUUGGUCCCUGCAAGCAAUACUAAUUGGCCACCAUCACCUGGCUACUGGCCAAGUUCUAAAUUCAGGUCUAUGAGCUUUUAUAAAGGAUUUAAAACUCUCUGGGGUCCUCAGCAUCAAAGCUUAGACCAACAUGCAUUAACAAUCUGGGUUUAAUGAGGCCAGAAAAUUUUAAGAACUUAUCUACCAAGCAUACCAAACUGACAAAGCAAACCAUAUCUGUAUUUUAUCAUCAAUUUCAUCAAUUUUAUCACCAACAACAGAUAAAAAAAGGGAAUUUUUUCAAAAAAAAAAAAAAGGAAAAAACAUAAAUAAAAAAAGGGGCACAUUUAAGAGAGACCUAUCUUCUCAUUCUACAUCACAUCCUCUUUUCAUUUUGAAGCGGUCAUGUGUUGUGAGUUUCUUGUUUUAUAAAUUUUCAAAACUGUUGUUUAGAACUGCAAAAUUCUUCAUCAUAUAUCUUGCCUUCUAAUAUACAUUCUGUAUCAGGAAACUGGAAUGAGGCUUGCUCUUUGAGGAAGAGAAAUAAAAGAAAAAGUUGUGGCAAAGGUUCACGGAUGUAGUUGGAUUGUAGUGGGACAGAGAACAAAUUUAUUUGUUGCAGGGGAAAAGUCUCAUCCAAAUGCUAUGAAAUCAUGGCAACUUUAAAGUAUUGGACAGCAAUAAUGAAAGAAGAGGGCUAUGUUGGUGACACAGAUUCUUGCUUGCAUGAAUAAGAGGGAGAAAAGCCCCUAUGGUAUUGACUGUUGCCGCCAAGUGCAUAUUGUUAUUACUAUGCGUACUACAUCCCAAGGCCUCUCUCAGCAGGAUUACAAAGUAAACCAGAAUUACUAUCCCAGCAGUAUUCUGCAACUUUGCUCUGCACUUCCUUAUGUAAUCUCUCUCUCUCUCUCUCUCUCUCUCUCUCUCUAUAAAUAUAUAUAUACACACACACACACACACACACAUAUAUCUAGGCAUGCAUAUUUAUGAGUUCCCCAUUGAGGAGGGAUUCCCUUUUGAGGAUUUUAUAAUUAGAAUUAGACUGCCUUCUUAACCAAUAGUUGGGUUUGUGUGGUAAGGUAUGCUGGGUUUGUUGAUGUGGAUAUUUAUGCCUGGAGGUGCUUUGUUUUACUACUUCGUUGAAGUAGAAACAGACACUGACAAAGAAGCCCUUCAUUCUUUGUCUCAAUAGUGAUUGGUUUCUUUGAUCCUAUUCAUCAUAUCUGGUGGUGAGGUUGCCUAAUCAGCCAAAUGUUGGGUUCAACUACCUCUCUCUCUCUCUCUCUCUCUCUCUCUCUCUCUGUCUCUCUCUCUCUUUCUCUCUCUCUCUGUGACCUGCAUUUAUACAGAGCCAAUUAUUCCAUCUUCACUUUACAUUUUCCUCAUCUUCCCAUUCAUAUUUUAUGGCUUUCUUGCUCUUCCUCCUAAUUCUUUUGGUCCCUGCAAGCAAUACUAAUUGGCCACCAUCACCUGGCUACUGGCCAAGUUCUAAAUUGGCCAGAAAAUUUUAAGAACUUAUCUACCAAGCAUACCAAACUGACAAAGCAAACCAUAUCUGUAUUUUAUCAUCAAUUUUAUCGCCAACAACAGAUAAAAAAAGGGAAUUUUUUCAAAAAAAAAAAAAAAAAAGGAAAAAACAUGUUUAGUCUUUGCUUUCCAAUGUUUUAUCCAAAAACCUGAAAAUCAAAGUAACUAAAUAAAUGAACCCAAUCAUUCCUAAUUUCUAUUUUGUCAAAACCUAAUUAAGCUUCACUUCUUUUUUGCUUGUAUUUUAUCAUCAAUUUCAUCUAUUUUAUCACCAAUAGCAGAUAAAAAAAGGAAAUUUUUUCAAUUAAAAAAAAAAAAAACAUACUCAGUCUUUGCUUUCCAAUGUUUUAUCUAAAAACCUAAAAUCAAAGGAAUCAAAUAAAUAGGGUUUAGGGCUCAAGAACCUGAAAUCAAAAGAACCAAAAAAAUGAACACAACUCUACAUAGCACGAAAAAUCUCCCAGCCAACAAUCAAAUUCAUGAAAUAAAUACCAAAAGAUCUGUUAAAAAAUUGAUGAGAUGCAUACCUGAAAACAAAGGAUGCAACAAAGAUGGAAGCCUGAGUCGAAGCAAGAACGAUGGAAGCCUGAGUCGAAGCAAGAAAGAUGGAAGCCUGAGUCGAAGGUUGUAGAAAAGACGAAAUCUCCCGAUCCCAAAUCUGUGACACGAAGACUGAAAGCACGGCUGGAUUUGCAGCUCACCUCCCAAACAAAAAUCGACGGCCUUCAACGCAUCUCCAGCAACGAACACAACUCUUCCAUGGCUGCCCCCCAACCAGCUGGUUGGAAACGAACGGGAGAAAAUGGUUUCUCUCAGCGGACGAAACCAUCUCAACGAAGGGGGAGGGGCAAAAACGGGAACAAAAGAAACUGUUUAGUCAAGGGCAGUUUCGUCAUUUAACUGUGCUGCAGGAAAAAAAACGAAAACAGCAGAAAAAUGAGGGGCAUUUCCGUCAUUACACUGUGCUUAGCUACAGUGUUUAGUUGCAUUGGGUUUUAGUAUAUAUAUAAUUUAUGUUGUGAUUCGACUGCUGCUGUAUUUUAGAUUUAUAGGAACAGACCAAACAUGUUGAUUCUAUCACCAAAAUUAUAAAGUAUACUUCCAUUACAAUUAAUUUGUUGAUUCUAAUUUGGACUUGUAGGAACAGACCAAACAUGUUCAUACGUGGCAUUGCUCAAGUCAUCAUCAUUCGGGACAGAGAAUAAGCCUUCAAAUGUCUGCUGAGUCAAUGAACCUUUCUAGAUAUCUCAAGUGUAAUGGAAAUUGAUGAGUUACAAAGGAUUUGUAAACAUUUUCUACUGGAGGCUAGAAAUGCUUCAAAUAAAUGACUCUGUUGCAAUUAUUUUGUAGGAUCAAAGACUCUGCAAAGAGGUAAGAAAGUCAUCAUCAAGUAACUUCGCUCUUCAUACUUUUUAUUAGGGGUGGGCAUUGGAACCGCAAAACCGCAAAACCGAACCAACCCAAUCCGAAAAAAACCGAAAAAAACCGUGUUGACCGAAAAAGUCAAAAACCGAGACAAAUCCAAACCGAACCGGUUCAGACCGGUUCCGGUUCCGAUUUUCCACCUUAAGGAACCGGUCCAAUCCGAACCGGUCCAAUAUAAUUAAUUUUUAUAUUAUAUUUAUAUUUAUAUUUAAAAUAUCAAAUUUUGUAGGCCCAAACCCAACUAUUUCAUUAUACCAACAAAAAGCCCAAAUCUCCCAAGUCCAUUGCCCAAGUCCAACAAGCCAUAUUUUAAUAUCCUAAUCACAUCAAAUCUCACUUCACUCUCUCUCUCUGACGCACUCUCUCUUUUCCUCUCAGAUUUUUUUUACUCUCUUUUUCUUUCUUUCUUCUCUCUUCCGCCUCUUUUCCUCUAGGUUCUUUAACUUCUUUUUACUUCUUUCUUUCUUCACUCUUCUGCCUCUUUUCCUCAGUUUUUUCUUCUUCUUUCUCUCUUAUUCUUUCUCCUCUCAAUUCGUCUCCAUUUUUUUUCCCUCUCUUUCUCUGAUUUUCUGUUACUCUGAUUUUUUUCUUCUUGGUUUUAUGUUUCUCUCUCUCCCUCUAUAUCUCUUUCUUUGCAACUCUGUUUUUCAAUUUCUCCUUUUUUUUCUCUCUUCAUUUUUUGUUUCUCUGUACAUAUAUGUGUUCAUCUUGUAGAUCUGGGUGAAAUUCUUGUAGAUCUAGGUGAAGUUCUUGGAGAUCUGCGUUAAGUUCUUGUAGAUCUAGGUAAAGAGCCAAUUCAAAGCAGGUCAGCGUCUCUUAUCUCCCCAAUCCCUUGUGAAGAUAUGUAUUUUUUUUGUUGUCAACAAUCCAUUUUGGUGUUUUUAUAUGGUAUUGAUAUUUUCUAUGAUUUUGGGCUGAUUUGAGGUCUGAUUCUUUUUUUUUCUUUCAAUUUUUUCCUGUUGUGUUUUGAUAGACAUGUUCUCUAUUCCUGAUAUCAUUCCUCAGUGGCAAAAUCUUUGAGCGUUGUUGUAAAUUUUAGACGGGAAAGAAGCUCAUUCAUAAUUCAAAAAAAGAAAAUAAAGUUACAACAACUGACAAUUUGUUGCUCUUUGAAAUAGGUACUGAAGUAGCAUGGAUAAAAAGAAAGACUGAAGAUGUUGCAGAAGAUUGAAUAUGUUCUAUUUCUGUAAUUUGUUUGUAAUUAAAUUUGUUUAUUUUGUUUUGUUUUUAGGUUGUAAGUUUUAUUUUAAUGUUUGAUAUUUGUUGUUUUGUCAAAAAAUUGUAUUAAUGCUUGAUGGAUUCAUUCAAUUUGCAGUGCGUGGAUGUGAAUUGGGCCAAUCGGUAAUAAUUAGGCCCAAAAGGUUUUAAAUAUCAAUUGGGCUGAAACUUACAAAAAAAUUUAAGAACAAAAAAAAAAUCAAUUAAGCUGUGUGUCGGCCCAAACCGUAAAAACCGGAACCGAACCGGAUUCAAAUGGGUUCGGGUUGGUCCGGUUUUCUCAAGCAUUUUAGUAAAAAUCCGAACCGGACCGGACCGGUGAACAGUACCGGUUCCGGUUUUAAAUUGAUGCAAAAACCGGUCCAAACCGGACCGUGCCCACCCCUAUUUUUUAUUUUUAUUUUUAAAUAUCAGUAAUAACUGGGAAAGCUUGCAUCUCCUUAAAUUGCUCAUUCUUACAUCUUUUAUAGUUUGUUGAUCUUGGGCAAGUGGAGAGAGAGGCGUCAAGUGAUACGCAACAACCAUUUUCUGUGAGCUGAUUUGAUAAAGAGAAAUGGUAUGCUUUCUUGUCUUAAGCGGUGUGUUCUGCAAUUAUUUGAAACAAAGGAUGCCGCACUUCAAGUUCGAGAAAAUCAGGUAUUUUAGUAUUUUAUUCUUGAGAAAUUUGAUUUAUGUAGAAACUUGAACAUGUAAAUGAGAGAAAAAAAAAUAAAUAUAUAUAUAUAUUAUAUAUUGUAUAUGCUGUUAAUGAGUUAAUAUGGUGCUUGCUCCUAGUUGGAAAUUUAUGUAGUCAUCUACCUAUGAUCAAAUAAAGAUGAAAAAUAAAAUAAAAUUGAGAGCAUCUUCCUCUCCCCUGCUUUGCUCAUCCCUUGUUCUUCCACUUCAGCCCCACUAUUACACCAUUUUUUUCAGCCACAAUUAUAAUAGCUCCAUGAGCAUUAAGUCCCUUUCAAAUUCUGCUGACAUUCAAAAUUGGAAUCUGCUGGUGAUAUAUGAUAGCGUUAACAUAUUGUACCAUUUUGGCCAGUGUACGCAAUAUUAUUGCAUCCAACUUUGCAUAUUAACAUCAGUGGCCACAGUUACACGAUUUGAGUGCACAGAAAGGUUUCAAAAGUUGUCCCACAGAGAACAGUCGUUCAAAGUGAGAGAGUUUUGAAAGCUUAAUUACAAGUUCAUGUUGUUUACAACCUCAAAAAGCUUUCAUACUUGCUUACAAACCUGUAUUUCCAAGUUCUGCAAACCUUGGAAUAUCACUUCAUCCAAAUCCCCUUCCAAAGCAGGAAAAAAUGGCAGCAGCUUUGAUUGGAGAGGCUCUCAUCUCUGCUUCUAUCGAGGUGUUGUGUGACAGAGUUACUUCAGCCGAGUUCAUAGACUUAUUUCAGCAGAAGAAACUUGAUGAAACACUCCUCAUGAACCUGAAGACGACACUGUUGAUUUUGUUUGCGGCGCUCAAUGAUGCAGAGGAGAAGCAAAUUGUGAACCCUGCUGUGAUAGAGUGGCUUAACAGCUCAAGCAUGCUGUCUUUGAUGCAGAGGACUUACUUGAUGAGAUUGACACUGAAGCUUUGCGAUGCAAGCUGGAAGGUGAGGAUCAAACCCACAAUAAUUAACCAACAAGGAUCUUUUUGAUUGUUUGAAAGGAGGGUCUUUGAUGAUUUGAAAGGAGAGGGUUGCUUCAUUUCUGUUGGAUGCUUAAUUAAAUCUUAUCUGGACUUGAACAAGGAUUAGGUUAGCUGUAUAAUUCGUGGUAAACACCUUUUUCUAAGGUUCAUUUAGACUCCUAUUACGAUUAAUUUGUUGUUUCUAAUUUGGACUUGUAGGAACAGACCAAAUAUGUUCACACGUGGCAUCGUUCAAGUCAUCAUCAUUUCAGACAAAAUCAGCCUUCAAGUGUCUGCUGACUCAAUGAACCUUUCUAGAUAUAUCAAGUGCAAUGGAAAUUCAAGAGUUACAUAGAGAUUUGUAAACAUUUUGAAGAUUGCAACACCUGCAAGUGAGAUAGGUGGUGACGAAAUCAGAGCUGAUCUUGAAGCCUCUGAUGCCCCUGUCGUUGCAAGUUGCACCUGAGAACAUGGUUUUUUUUUGGGUAAAAAACCAGCAACAUGUUCGGGGCUGGCAAUUCAAUCCCUGAUGAACUUGAGAAGCAAAGCUCCAGUAAGGAAAUUGGUCGAGGUCACGACAGGGAUAAUUGAUGGUGAAAUGGAUGCUAUUUCUUAUUGCAGCCUGUUCUCAAAGUUCUUGUUGGCAAAAGCAAGAGAUGGAGUAUUUUGAUUGGGAGGAGAGAUAAUGACAUGUGUUGACAAUUCUAGAACAGCCCAUCUGAGUUCUUUUGUCAGGCUGCAUCAUUUAAUCCCAGCAAAAAUCCAGUUUUUGCUAAACAAUCAAAUUGUACACAUUUUUUCUUUUCGAGGAAUUUAACAUUACACAUUUUUUCAUUUUUUCAUCAAACAGUUUUCUAAUGCAUUUGUUGUCCCAAGUUACAAUGAGGAAUUUGGAUUGAGUUUCUUGUGUUAAUAACAUUAUACUUUCAUGGAAUGGUUUAUCUUCUUUUUCUGGACAAAAAUAUUUAGAUUAAUUUCUUGGAAUAAUUUUUUAAUAAUUUUUUAAUUGCAGUAGCGAAAAAAGGAAAAUUGUAUUUUUCAAAACCAAUCUUAAGUCCAGUUUCCUCUUCUUGGUCGUCACACUUGGAAAUUGCUAACCAUAUAUAACUUGGGGUAACAAUCUUAGUCCGAAUGUGUACGAUCUUAGUCCGAUCAAUGGCUACGCGUAUUGGCUCGGCCUUGGGGUCUACCAUUCCAGUGUACAAGCUUCCUGGGUCUUGGGGCAAUUCCUUCAAAUUGUACACAUGUUUUCUUUGAGAAGCAAGGCUCUAGUAAGGAAAUUGGUUAUGUAACAAAUUUUGGUCCCUUUGGAUGGAAUGAUUUACAAUGAGGAAUUUUAUUAUUAUUAUUUUGUUUUUGUUGUUAGUGUAAUGAAAAUGAUCUAGGUUCAUACACUGGGUAUAGCUCUAAUUUGGCCAAUUUCAUUAUUUUAGUUUCUUCAUAUUUUCAAUUAUUAUAAUUUGGUGCGUUGUUUUUUAAAAACAUUCAUGAGAAUCUCCAUUUUUUAGGUGUUUAAGUUAUUCAUCCACAACGGUUUUAUAAUACCGUCAUCUUUUCAAACACAACGAUGAUUUUUUAAUCUAUCGUCGUUGUUUUCUGAUCGUCUUUUUCACUUUUUGUAGUAGUGUCAAUAAGUAAGAUGAAAUAAUACAUUCACAAUCUGUUUAAAUUUUAAAUUAAAAAAAACACAAGAAAAUUUUAAAUAAGUAAGUAAUUUUAAAUAUAUAUUUCCAUUGUUUUGGUUUUCUUUUCAUAUUAGUUUUCUACUAGCUGCUAAUUUCAUUUAAAUUGUUUUUCUUACUUCAUUUAACUUUUAAGCAUGCAGAUGCAAUCAUGACUUCUUCUUUUUUUCAAUAGACUGAUUCUCUUCCCACAUAUAUAAUGCUCUCUAAGUAUUCGUAAUAUGAGUAGGAAUUUAUUUUCAUUUCACAAGAAUUGUCCAUCAAAUUCUGAUAGGUUUGUCGAUAGCACAAGCAUGCACAUAUAGACACUACAAGAACUUUGUUUCUUCAUUUUGUUUCCUAAAGAUUUGUUGGCUUCGUGCAGAUGAAUAACAAGUCUCUCUGUCCUCUAUUUCUUCUUUUUCUUUUUUAACAAUUCAUAUUCUACUUUCUGUUUUCACCCAGUAAAAAUUGAUUUUAGACAUGGGCUUCUAAAUUAUGUGCGGAUAAUGGUUGCAUUUAUAGAAUAUCCAUGGGCUUCUAGUCACCGUGGUUGUUGAUUCAGCAUGUCAUAUUACUCUUGGACUAGCUGUUGACACUACUACAUUUUACACUUUGCGCGACGAAGAACAAAACGUCGCGCAAAGUCGCAUUUAGUCGCCCCAAUUUCAGCGCGACAAAAACGUCGUCGCGCAUAUUCCGUCGCGCGAAGAUCGUGAAGAAAGCCUUUGCACGACGAGGUACAACCCUUCGUCGCGCAAAAGUGUGCGACGGGUAAACCAUCGUUGCACCAACGGUGUGGAGACGAAACAACCCUUCGUCGCAAAAAUAUUUGCGCGACGAUAAAUUAUGCGGCGCACGUAUAUUUGCGAGACGACGGGAAUUGCGCGACAAAACAUUAUUCGUCGCGCAAAAUAUGUAUGGGAGACGUAUAUGUUCGUCGCAGAACAAUUCGCGCGAUGAGAAAGUUUUCGUCGCACAUAUAAUUGCGCGACGAAAAAUUAUGUCGUCGGCCAAAUAUUUUGCGCGACGAAACAUUUCGUCGCGCAAAACGUGUUAUGUGUUCGUCGCGCAUGAAUUAAAAGUGAUAAAAAAAUAUUUGAUUUUUUUUUGUUACAUGUUGGUUUGCGCGACGAAAGAUUUUCCGUCGCGCAAAAAUAAUAUUACAAUUUUUUUUUUAUUUAUAUUUUUUAUUUGAUAUAAAAUUGGUUUCUUUUUAUUGAUUAAACAAUGAAAUUGCAAUAAAAAUAAAUUAGAAUAAAAUUUUGUUAUAAAAUAAAAUAAAAUAAAUGUAUUACAAAUAAAAUAAAUACACUAAUCAAAUAAUGAAUCAAAAUCAACCGAGUCGUCGCCAGUAUGCGGCUCGGAGGGCGGGGCGUUCACCGGGGCAGUGGUCUGGUGGGGAUGCCCGGGAUGGACGGGCUCAGAGGUCGGCGCAUCAAAAUGCGGGACUGGAAUGCCGGACUGUGCGAGGGACUGCAGAAUGACCGACAUCUGGCUCUGAAGAGUGGCCACCUGUGCUGUCAAAGCAGUGACCUGACUGUUUGACUGCGCCGAUGAACGAGGUCGAGGUUCCCUCCGCCGGGCAUUCCCCAUCCCUCGACAAUAUGUCCCCGGCCUCCUCCCGAGAGUCUGAUCCAACGUCUCCGUCAAUAUCUGAAAUCCAGCAUCCUGUGGAGGAGCCACAGACUCGAUCGGAGUCUCGGGAGGAAGCUGGGAGGCGGACUCCUGAAGAACAAGCUGGCUCCUCUCCACCAUCGUCGUCUGUUGAACAUAACAUAAAAUAUAAAUUAAAACAUGCAUAUAAAUUGAAUGCGUAACAUAAGAAUUAAAAUUAAAUAAUACUUACAUGAAGGGACUCGGCCAACUCAUUCCCGGGUCGAACAUAAACGUCACCAAAGACGUCGAUCUCUGGGAACUUGGACCCCUCCUAAAUUGAACAAGAGAAGAAAAAUAUUAGUAUGAAAAAAAUAAAUUAAUAAAAAUGACAUUAAAAAUGAAAUAAAAAUUUUGUGAUUAUUACCCGACGCCGUGCAUCCAUCCUAUAAGAAAAGGGUCUGGAGCCGGAAUGGUGGAGAAGGGUCUUCUUCUUCCUAUUACCCUUAUUCACUUGGGCUUUAUUCUGUUAUACAAAAAAUGAAACGUAUUAGUUAAAAUAUAAAAAAUUAAAUAAUAAUGAAAUAAAAAAAUAAAAUAAACAUUAAUAAGUAAUAAGUAAUAAUUAAACAAAUAUAAUUAAAAAAAUACCGCAAAUUCGGGCGCUUGAAAAUGAGCGCAGAGCCACUCCCAACUAUCCUCCCGCCCCUCAAGCUCCUUCGGGCAACCCUCCUGAAGAGCGACUUGCGGAUCAUCAUAGGCCUGAAAAUGGUGGUGCAAGUCGCUCUUCCACUGCUUGUACCUCUCAGCGAAGAGUCGGUUGACGUACGUCAACGACUCUUCGUCGAGAUCCUCCAAGUUAUAGUUCGUCUGCAAUCAAUUAAUUAGAUACGUUAAGUAAUAGAAAUAUACACAAUUUUAAAGAAAAAUAAUGAAAAUGUAAGGUACAUACCGACAACUGGCCGUGAAUCUCCGCCUGGAUCUCGUCAGGCAUGACCCUCCAAGACUUCCAUUGCAUCGGGCAAUGGGUCCGCACGACGUGGCCAAUGUCGUGGGCCAAGGAGCUAUGCAACUUCGCCGUCGGUGCAGCACGAUGGCGCUCGUCGUAUCCGAUGCUGAUACGACUGUUGGUCACCCGGGUGACCUUCGCCGUCUUCAGCUGACGACACGGUCCUCGGGUGUUCCUCUUCGCUGCAAAGAAAUAAGGUAUUAAUGUUAAAUAAAAAAACAUUGUCAAAUUUCAAUAUAAAAUUAACAAUACAAAAGUGUAGUUAUACCUGGCUGUGAUCCCGAGGCACCAGUACCGUCGGUCGAUGUCGUGUCGAUGGUGUCGGUGGGCCGGUGCCGCCGCCUAGCACUAGCUGGUUGCGCCACGGAUGACGCAGAUGACACAGGCGCCUGGGGCGCCCCGGGACCAACCACCACGUGGUCCAACAAAGCAGGAGCAGUGGCAGCAGAUGCCGACUGAGCCAGGGGAUCCGAACUCGGUGCAGUCGUCAUCGACCUACCACGUCUAAUCAAGUCUGACAUCUGCACAUAUAAUUUCAUUCAGAAUGUAAACUAAUUAAUUAAAAGCAUAGCCUGACCUAGGGUUUGGAAUUUCGGAGUAUCCGGGACUCCGAUCAACGAUCGGUCGAAUCCUAAACGAUCCUAGAAACACAAAGGUACAACUACGCGAGUUUCAGUUCGAUCCAACGGUCCGAACAUAUCAAACCUGGAAAUCGCACAAUAGGCGAAAUUCGAUCAAGACUCAAACGGUAACCAAAUUCAAAUCCGAGCAAACCUACGCGCUCGUGACAAACAGGGGAUCGCUCUGGGACACAAUGCCCCACUGCCACAGCAUCCCACGCGCCGGCAGCGCGUGGGUGUCCAAAGCGAUAACAUUCGCCGGAAAAUUCUAAAAACUAACGGCCAAGGUUCCUACCCUAGGUUGAAAACAAUAUUUGGCGCCACUUUUGUUCUCGGACCUACCCCGAAAAAUGGCCGGAAGUGGCCGGAUUUGAAAUUGCCAAACCGGCCAAAACCUAGGGUUUUAAUUCCUAUUUCCUAUACCCAUCAGCUAGAGCACAAAAAAUAGUCGAGAAAUCAUACCUCAGGCGUCGGAAAUGGUGGCCGGAGGAGAGAGAAAACGGCCGGCGAGGAAUCGGUGAAAAACCGACGAUGUGCGACGGCAGGCUCGACGGCGAAGGCAGGGGAGGCUAUGGCAGGAGCGGCGGUGGCUGAGGUGACGGCGGAGAGAGAGGGCUGAGGUGACGGCGGAGAGAGAGGCAAACGGAGGAAAAAACCAGAAAUGGGGAAGAAGGAGGCAUCGCGACGUUUCUGCAAAUUUUUACGACUUUGCGCGACGAAUCACAUCAUUCGUCGCGCAAAAUGCUAUUAAUGAAUCUUGCGCGACGCUAUAUCCGUCGCGCAAGAUCUGUCAGAACGCCAAAUUCUGAAAGUGGAUUAGGGUCUGUAAGUUUUGCGCGACGAAAUAGACAUACUUCGUCGCGCAAAAGGCUGUCUUUCCGCCAAAAUUUUGGGAUUUAGGGUUUAGCGGGAGGCUGAAACUGAAGGGUUUGCGCUUUUGCGCGACGAAGACGGUAAACGUCGCGCAAUGGUAACCUUGCGCGACGGAACGUAUUAUAUUCGUCGCGCAAAAGGCUAUCUUUCCGCCCAAAUUUUGGGAUUCAGGGUUUAGCGGGAGGCUGAAGGGUUUGCGCUUUUGCGCGACGAAGACACUAAACGUCGCACAAAAGGCUGUCUGCUGAAAUGAAUGGUUUCUGCUUUUGCGCGACGAAGACAAUAAACGUCGCGCAAAACGUUGUCGUUCCGCCAACAAUUUGGGGUUUAGGGUUUAGUGUGAAAACUGGCGCCCAGAUUGCGCGACGAAGAGUACAUAUUUCCUUCGCGCAAUCUAUUUCACUUUCACUUUGCGCGACGGAUAUGUUGGUUCGUCGCGCAAUCUUCAAGAUUUUCAUUGAAAUUUUCACUAAGUGUUCAAAGGGGAUGGAGGUGUGAAAACUGGCGCCCAGAUUGCGCGACGAAGAGUACAUAUUUCCGUCGCACAAUCUAAUUCACUUUCACUUUGCGCGACGGUUAAAUUGUUCGUCGCGCAAAAUGUAGACCCUAAACCCCCUUGUAAACCCUAAACCCUGAACCCUAAGCCAUAAACCCUAAACCCUAAAAUAGUUUCAAUGAUCCAACCGGCAAACUUAUUGUUUGAAACUUGGAGAUCAUAUACGCCAAAAAUCAAGAAGACCAAACAUUCAGAUAUCAGGGAACGGGACUAAAUAUUUCGACGGUUAUAAAUGAAAAGUCAUGAUUUAACGGUUAUUGUAACUCCGAUUUUGAUCAAUUUUGACAGCAGCAUUUGUUGACCCUAUAUGAAUACAAUGACUGAAUUUGAUCUUCAAUUUCAGAUUUUUACACUAGGGGAUACCACAUAAACGUGAAGUUACAUUUGCACAAAUGUAUAAACAAAUUUUAGGGUUUUUGGUGAAUAUAUGAUUUUGAUAGCACAUGCAGUCUACGAAACAAGUUUCAGUCAUCCAGCCGUCAAACUUGUUUUUUUAGACUUCGAGAUCAUAGACAGCAAAAAUCGGACAAAAAAAACAUUCAGAGAUUAAGCAACGGGGUAAAACUUUUCGACGGUUCUAAAUAAAAAGUGAUGAUUGAACGGUUAAUUUAACUCCGAUGUUGAUGAUUUUUUGCAGCUACAGUCCUACACUCCAUAUGAAUACAAUGAACUACUUCGAUCGCCAAUUUUAAAUAUAUAUGUGUGUAUAUAUUAUACUAUAACGUUACCUAAUAUAUAUUUGCGCGACGAAAGUUUGCUUAUCGUCGCGCAAAAAUGCCAUACGCGACGCAUGUAUAUAUGCGUCGCGGAAACUAUGCGCGACCAGUUGUAUUCGUUGCGCAAACAUUACGCGACGCUUAUGUAUGCGUCGCGUAUGGUAUGUUUGCGCGACGAUAUGGAGCCCUUCGUCGCGCAUGGAUUUGGCGCCAUAAAUCCUCAUUGAUUUCAAAUUGUGUAUGCUUUGUAUUUUUUAGAAAGGUUUUGUAUUCAUCAUUUUUUAUGCUUUGUAUUUUGUGGAAAGGCUUUGAAAUAUUCAUUUCUUUUGUUAUUUUUAUUGAAGCUUUAACUUGUUCUGUUCCGCAGAAAAUUCCAAUGAAGUUUGUGAUGAAAUAUGGAGAAUGAAUACACAACUACAUAUGGACAACUACACAUAUUCAAAGAUUUGUAUUACACAAAAUUAAUACACUAACAUAAUAAAUUUACAAAUAAAUUCAUUAUUCAUCAUCUGAACUAUAAUAACUUUCGUUAUCGUCGCUAGCUUUAACUUGUUCUGUUCCGCAGAAAAUUCCAAUGAAGUUUGUGAUGAAAUCUGGAGAAUGAAUACACAACUACAUAUAGACAACUACACAUAUUCAAAGAUUUGUAUUACACAAAAUUAAUACACUACAUAAUAAAUUACAAAUAAAUUCAUUAUUCAUCAUCUGAACUAUAAUAACUUUCGUAUCGUCGCUAUCAUCACUCUCGGUCUCCCAAUCUUCUUCCUCCUCCUCCUCUAUAACUGCAUCAUCGGCGUUGCUAGGGCCCACUGCAACAUCGUAUCGGGGAAGAUCACCGAGGUCAAUUGUAAUUGACUGAAUCGGUAUUUCGACUGAAGACACUCCUUCUAUUUGAAACGGUUCUUGUAUAACAUUUGUAUCUCGAAGUGUUUCCGCAUCAUUUUCCAUUGAAGAUUCUAAACGAUGGUCAGCCACAUUGUCGACGUCGUUGUCACUUGGGUCUAGUUCUGGUAUAUUAUACACGUUCCUAUGAUCCAUCUUCUGCACAACUUUCCACCCGUUCCCGGCUUUAGGGUCAUCUAGAUACACAAUUUGGGACGCCAUGUUUGCCAAAAUGUACGGGUCGUCAUCAUACCAAGUUCUGUUAAUAUUCACAGACAGUACUCCAUGGUCGAUUUUAACACUUCCCGCCCUAUUUGGGUUGGUAUCGAACCAUCGACACUUAAACAUGAUGACUUGGUAUCGAUCUUUGUAAAGCAAUUGCACGACAGUUGUCAGUUUGCCAUAGAAAUCAAUGUCUGUACUUUCGCCUCCACCUGGGACAUGAACACCGCUAUUUUGCGUACACAACUUGUCAUCUCGUGCGGCCCCUAAAAAUUUGACGCCGUUAACAUUACAACCCGAGAACAAUUCAGCGCGAAUUGGGCCGAACGCCAAGUUAUAUAACUCAUCACUGUAAGUGGGGGAAUUCGAUGAUUUCAAUUUAUUCACCUAAUAGUAUACAAAACCAUUUACAUGUUAGUCUGACAAAAUUAAAUACUAAAAUUUAUAUUUGUCAAUUACAAAACACUUAUAACUUACAGAAUCCAAAAACCAUUGUGGAAAUAAUUCACGGUGUUUCCGGGCAACCAAAUGUGAUGGAUGUUCUCGCUUCAUCAUCUGUUCAUGCUCAUCUAAGUAGGCCAUUAUCUCAUCACAAUUGUUCAGUACGAACCAAUGCGCUACCUCCAUGUCAUUUCUAGAAAACGACUCUCCUCGUCCAGGAUCUCCAAAUGGUCGUGCGCUUUGGGCAAAAACAGAAAGUUUUUCAUUUCUCAUACCUCCGUCAUUAUUGCGGUGAGGACGAUUGAAAACCGUCUCCACAUCUUUUAAAUACAUUCCACAGAAAGUAAGCGACUCAUAUUGAACCCAAGCCUCUAUAAUUGAUCCUUCGGGCUUUGCCCUGUUGCGUACACUUUUUUUCAGCUCUCCGAGAAGCCUGCCAAAAUAAAACGAUAUGAUACAAAUUAGCAAAGUGUCGAUAAUGAUGCAUACACAAAUGAUAAAGAUUAUAUACCUUUCUAUUGGAUACAUCCAGCGAUAGUUGACAGGACCAGCAAGCAAUGCCUCUUCUGGCAAGUGAACCAUCACGUGCAUCAUACUUAUAAAGAAAGCUGGAGGAAAUAUCAUCUCAAACUUGCAUAGGACUUGGACAAUGUCAUGGCGCAACUGAAACAUGUCUGUCCUUCGCAAUGUUUUUGCCGUCAGUUGGGAAAAAAAUCUGGAUAACAACAUGAUUGGCUUCACCACAUCUUCCGGCAGUAAGUGUCGAAUACCCACAGGAAGUAGGCGUUGCAUGAACACAUGGCAGUCAUGGCUCUUAAGUCCAGUAAAUUUACCCCCAUCGACAUUCACGCAACGUGCGAUAUUAGAAGCAUACCCAUCGGGAAAUUUGACAGACGAUACAAACUUUAGAAACUCCUUUUUGUCAUUCGGUUUCAUAGAAAAGAAUGCAAGAUCCCUUCUAGCUUUAUCACUGUCCCUAUUCAUCCAUAAACCCCUUCGUAUGCCCAUUCUUUCCAAAUCAAGACGAGCUUUGAUCGUGUCCUUCGUCUUCCCCUCGAUAUCUAGAAUCGUGCCCACCAAUGUGUCGAAAACAUUUUUCUCAACAUGCAUCACAUCUAGAUUGUGCCUCAAUUUCAGUUUCGACCAAUAUGGGCGCUCAAAAAACAUAGACUUGUGCGUCCAGUUCAAAUGUGUAGAAGGUCGGGUCCGACUAACUGUUUUCCCGAACGGAGCAAAAUCCAAACGGUUCAGCUGUUCCAAGAUCUCAUCACCGGACCAUUCUCUAGGUCUGAGGCGACGCUCUGUGUUCCCGUCGAACUCUUUAUCUUUUUCUCGCCACUCGUGGUCCCAUGGCAACCAUCUCCGAUGACCAAGGUAACAAACUUUUCCCGCGUGCCAACCAGAAGUUACAUCUUCCUUGCAUACAGGACAUGCCAUAUAACCCUUUGUGCUCCACCCAGAAACCAUUGCAUAUGCUGGAAAAUCAUUCACAGUCCACAUAACUGCUGCUCGCAAAGUGAACAUCCUCCCAGUUGAUUUAUCGUACGUGCGAACACCGUUUGUCCAUAAAUCCUUCAGCUCAUCAACCAGAGGCCUUAAGUACACAUCAAUUGACCUGCCAGGAUCCUCAGUUAUCAAAACAGUCAUCAUCAUGUAUUCUUUUUUCAUGCAUUUCCAAGGCGGCAAAUUAUAUGGGAAUGCGAAAAUCGGCCAAGUGCUGUGGUGUUGGUUUAGAACCCCAUACGGAUUGAAUCCGUCAGUGGCAAGUCCCAAUCUAACAUUUCGGGGAUCAGCAGCAAAUUCGGGGAACGUUCGAUCGAACUCUUUCCAUGCCUCCCCAUCUGCAGGAUGCCGCAUCACAUCAUCGUCUACCCGUUUUUCCUUAUGCCAUCUCAUGUCUGUGGCAGUAUGCGUUGACAUAUACAAUCGCUGCAACCUAGGUUUAAGGGGCAGAUAACGCAUGACUUUUUGUGGUAUCUUAGUCGUUCUAUUCUGGGAUGUCAGUUUGAACCUCGACUCAUUGCAUAUAGGGCAUGUAUCCAACGUUUCAUGCUCUUUGUAGAAUAACAUGCAAUUGUUUUUGCAAGCGUGGAUUUUUUCAUAACCCAAUCCAAGACCGUGCAACACCUUCUGUGCAUGUUUAUGGUCUUUCGGCAAACAAUUGUCCGUCGGAAGCAUUCUCUUGAAAACCCCCAAAAAGUAAUCAAAACACAAGUUCGACAUACGAUACUUUAUUUUUCCGUGCAUUAGCUCCACAAUGGCAGUGAGAACGGAAAACCUCUCGCACCCCGGGUAUAACUCUUGGUUGGCAUUUUUUAACAGUUUUUCAUACUGUUCAAACUCCGCACUGUCUAUUGGUGUAGGCACGUCAUCUUCCCCUUCCUGAUUGAUGUUGGUCGAUGCGAAUGGAAAAGCAUCCUGUAUAAUACCCAUGACUUGAUCAUUAGGAUCCACAAUAGGUUCAACAUUGUCCACUCUCGGGGCAUUUGAAGACGAAGCAUGGUCUACUUGUUCGCCGUGAAGGUUCCAAAUGCUAUAUGUUUCAAUCAUUCCAUUCCUUACUAAAUGAAAUCCAACAUUUUCAAUUGUCUCCCACAACGUGUUGUUACACCUCCUACAAGGACAACGGAUUCUAGUUGCACCCGGGUUGUGUCUACGUGCAAACUCAAUAAAAUCCUCGAUUCCAUCCAAGUAUUCGUCUGCGCAUCUAUUCGGGUUCUGUAUCCACCUUCUGCUCAUAAUUCCUGAAACCACAAUCACGACACAACAAUCACAACAACUUCAUACGAAGUUAUAAUGUCACCUUAUGCCUCCGGUAAGGGCCCUAUCCCAUUCGGGAAUGCAUAGUCCUGUCACGUAACCUACGGCUACAUGAGAUUAGAUUUCGACGUGGAUUAAUUUCAGCAGCAUCUCGACACAGUUCUUGAAGUGGGCAUAGGUAUAAAUACCUACGUACCACCCGAAGAACGUACCGAGAUGACACCGAAAUCUCCACAAUCGAAACCUAAUCCUGUAGCCGAAGAUUAUGUGACAACACUAUGCAUUACCAAACUGUCCAAAUAAUGGGACAAUUCAAGAAUUAAUUGGACCGCAGUCAUGCAUUACGCAUCCAUGCACGAAAUUCAACUAAUCUCGAACGGGAAACUACGUGUUACUAAACAUAAAAAUAAAAGUACGAAGUUAAUUUCAAUUAACUUCGUACAUCACAACACAUUGUGCUAUGUCACGCACAAUUUCACAACAUUAUACACAUAUAACUUCACAAAAAAAUUACAAACAUAACAAACAAACUUUUACAAUAACAUACCUUCUCAAUCGUUCUCCACCAAUCACAAAUAUCCCUAACGAUAACAAAAUUAAUAGCGUUACUACGAAUUUACAUUAAUACAUUUAAACUAACGACAAAAAAUACAUACCCAAUGAACGUACUGAAUUCACAGUAGAGCAACGGCAGAGAGAGUGAGAGAGAGGUAGAAUGCAGUGGGAGAGUGAGAGAGAGGCAGAAUGCAGAAACUGCAUUCUGCCUCUGCAAUGGAACUGGCUAAAAUGAAGAAGAAGGACUUUGCGCGACUAACAAUCCAAUCCGUCGCGCAAAAUGCCGUCGCGAAAACCCACUUUUCCGUCGCACAAAAAAACAUUUCCGUCGCGCAAUUACCUGCCGACAUCAGGUUUUUUGCGCGACGAAUACAAUUAUCCGUCGCACAAACAUCCGUCGCGCAAAUAACAUUAUUCGUCGCGCAAGGUUUAUAUUACGUCGCGCAAAUAACACUUAUUUCGUCGCGCAAGAAAUUACACUUUACGCGACGAAGGUAAUUCCGUCGCGCAAAAAAGUUUUUUCCACCCUGCAUUUUGCCGCCAAAAUUAAGUAACCCUCGUUUUCUUACGCGACGGUACAUAUUUCCGUCGCGCUAAGGCGUCUUUUGCGACGAAAAUGUUCGUCGCGCAAGAUUCUGGCGCCAAAAACAUAAACUGGGGAUUUUUCCCCGACCUUUGCUCGACGAAAUUAGUUUUGGUCGCGCAUAGAUUGUUUGCGCAACGAAGAUUGUUCGUCGCGCUAGUGUUCUGCUGUUUGCGCUACGGUAUUUUUUUUUCGUCGCAAUAGUGAUUUUUGCGCGACGAAAAUAUAUUCGUCGCGCAAACGUCCGUCGCGCAAAUAGUAAAUCGUAGUAGUGUGAUUUGGUUUAGACUUGGUUUAAUUAUCAUUGUUGUGGUUGGUUCACCAAAAAGAUUUGGCUUAGAAUUACCAGUUUUGUUGUUGGUUUAGUUAUGCUUGGCAUUUGAGGAUCCUAUGCUUACUUGUAUGGGUAAUACAUUUUAUUGAUCGUUUCAUAUACUAAUUAUGAACUUUUAGUUCCAUUGUGCAUUUAAGAGUACACAUAUUUCAUAUGUAAUUCGAAAGUUUGUCGCUGAAAUUUCUGAGAAUUUGAAACUAGAUAAGCACACCUUGCACAAAGUUCAUAUAUUUUCUUCCAGCAAGUCUGUCUAUUAACCCCCCUUAUCUGAAAUUAAUUGUUAAAAGUUCUGAUUCAUCUUUAAUCAUUGUCUUACCCUUGUUGAAUAACACUCCUCAUUCUAAUUUAUAUUCGAAGUUUGAGGUUUCAAUUUCAAUUGUGGGCUUUGAUUUUACAGAUUUUGUUUGUCAAUUUCAAUUUGGACAAAGCAUAUGCAAACAAAGUAAGGCAUUAUCUAUUAUUUGGAUCAUUUCCAUAUGUUUAUAUGUUUUUAAUAUCAUUUGCCUAUGUAGUUGACAUGUUAUAACAUUUUCGUAGUGUUGAAUAUAUAUAUAUAAUAAUUUUAUUUUAGUGGAUGUGAGAUCUCAGUUUGUUGCUUUAUAUAAUUAUUUCUUUGCAAUUUAAUUUUUUUUAUCAGUCAUACUAUUGUUGACGGCUAAAAACCAUCAAGAAACAACUCUUAAGUUUUUUAAAAAAUAAAUAAAUAAAUAAAGAUUUGUUGAUGCUUAAAAAGCAUCAAGAAAAGAUAGUUUCUUGACGGUUUUGUGACGUUUCAUAACCGUCAUGAAACAUUACAUUUUGACGAACGUCUUUCUGAUAGUGGCAUCCGUGACGCUUUCCGAGCCAUCAAUUAAGGGCUAUCGUGAUGCUUUUUAGUUGUCAGCAAAAGGUGUUUUUCUUGUACUGUAUUCACUCAAAAUCGUUUUUCAUUUAGGGUUGCUAGUGUGGUUGAAUGCCAUUUGUUUUGUUAAUGAAUAUUAUACAUUAUGGAUUUUUGUAGAAAUGUCGCUUGAAAUUAUACCUCAGUUUCAAUUUGUCACCUUAAAGAAAAAUUUAAGAGAAAUGUCACCUUAAUUUUUCAAAAUCCACGAUUUGUCAUCUCACUUUAACAUCAUCCAAUUUUCCAUCUAUUUUAAGGGUAUUUUAGUCUUUUCAUUUUCAAGGGAAAAAAAGAGAGGAAGAAAAAGACCUCUCUCUUACUUUCUCCCCCAACCCAACCCCACCCGCCCCCCAAAACACAUCGCAUAGGACCGCCUCCCCCUUCCCCACAUUUCUUUUUUCUUUUUGGCCUACUUUUCCACUAUGUUUAUGUUGAAGGAUCUAAAGUUUUCUUGGUCACCAUCUAUUACGUAGGCUACCGACUUGUUGGUUUGGGUGGGUUGAGGGAAUUUGUGUGUGGAGGGCAGGUGUUCAUGUUGUGUGCACCAAGACCUUAUCGUUGAUGAACUAUGUGACGGCACACACACAAACUCGUUGAGAAUAAAACAAACAUACCACCAAGAGAGUAAAACAAACACACAAGGACACAAAGAUUUAUAGAGGUUCGGCCUCCUGCCUACGUCUUUUUGGUGAUUCACUCGAGAAAUUCACUAGUAUGUAAAAAUAACUUUGGUUACAACUGAACCCCCUUAGCCCUCACAAGAACCUUAGAUCUCUUUUCUCUCACCCUUGCUCAAACCCUUUGAUGCCCUUGUAGACACUCAAGAAUUCACCCUUGAAUUCUAUCUUGUGUUACAUCUUCUCUUCUCCCUUUUGUUAACCUAACCCUAAAAGUCCUAUUUAUAAUGCAUAGGACUUAAGUUACAAGUUAACUUGGAAUAGGAAACAUAAAAUACCCCAAAAAUUGGAGAAAAUCUGUCCAAAUCUAGCCUGCAAAAUCAUCCUUCUGCCGCUCGAGCUGCCGGUGGCGCUCAUGGGAUGGGGGAAUUGGAGAUUUUCUUUUCAAUUUUAAUUGUUUAAAAGAUAUACAAUUUUUUAUUAUAAUAAUUUUUCCAUUUUUAAAAUACACUUGAAAAUAGAAAGCUUAAAAUGCCCUUAAAAAUAGAUGGAAAAUUGGAUGGUGUUAAAGUCAGAUGACAAAUCAUGGAUUUUGAAAAAUUAAGGUGACAUUUCUCUGAAAUUUUUCUUUUAAAAGUGACAAAUUGAAACUGAGGUAUAAGUUCAGGCGACAUUUCUACAAAAAUCCCUAUACAUUACAAUAUUAUAACAAUAAAAUUGGCUAAAAUUGAUAUGUUCCCUCUUUUCUUUUCUUUUUCUCUUUUCCUUUUCAUUUUAUGCUUUGUUGCUAUUGCUAUGUUUAUCCUACAAAUAUAGCAACUUCUCCACCAUUCAUUUGUUAGUGACUACGAUGCUUAGUAACUUCUUCAGCUCCCCUUAUUUCCAUGUACUAACCAGGGACACCAGGUCAGCAUCUUCGGUAAGAAUCCUAACUCAAUCAAACAAUGACAUCUGUAAAUAUUCAAAAUUGGAAUUUGCAUUGUGAUAGUUGAAAGCAUCCUUGUCCCAAAAAAAGCCAAAAAAUAAAAUAAAAUUGAGAGCAUUAAGUCCUUUUCAAAUUAUGCUAAUAUGCAAAAUUGGAAUUUUGAUGGAGUUGCUUCCUUGACUUUUCCACCUUUGUAUCCAGUCCACUUUGCACAAGGAGCCAAGUUUGAGAGAUAGUUUUCUGUAUUUACACCAUCCAGGAGAAAAUUAAAAAACUAUUUCAUGCCAAACUAACUACGGAUUCUUGCAAAGGACCCAUUAGUGUAGUGGUUUGGAGUAUUUACUCCCUCAGGCAAGGUCUUGGGUUCGAGUCCUAGCAUUCAUGUUGUGUGUGUGAGUUUAAUAUGCUAUCACCCCUUCCAAUAGGAAAGGACCUCAAAAAAAAAAAAAAAACUACAGAUUCUUUAAUUGAAAGAAACCCCAUAUUAAUCAUCCUUUGGCACAUAAAUGUUUGGUAAUUGGCAUUAAAGUAUCUAAAGGUUACGAAAUUAAAGAUUUUAAUGCAAACCUAAAAUUGGAAAAGAGGGCACCAAUUCAUGUAAAAUAUGGUGUACUUAGUAGAUCCAACAUAUUUUUUUAGCAACCAAGGACAAUCAUCAUUUUUUUUUUUAAGAACCAAGGAUAGCUUACAUUCUAGUUUGUCCAUCAUGUCAACACAUUUAUAAUUAAAACUUCUUUUUUGGUGAGGUUUCAAUUUUUGUCACUGUAACAAGACCACAAUUGCCAUUCAGUAUGCUAACAUUGUCACUAUGUUUGCCAAUUGCAUAUUAUCUAGAACAUAAAGGCUUUGGUGUUUUGUAUAUCCUCGGGGUGCCAAACCUGUCUUUAUAAAAAUGGUCCUUAUGAUACUACUUUAACAACAAAAAAAUAUAAUAAACUAGGCCUUUGUAGUCACUGAACGAAUGUUUUCUCAUAGAUAUGACUAUUUAAAUGUAAUUACGGGAUUAAAACAUUAUAAUAAAUUGGAGUGAACCAUAACAUUAUAUAUGAUCCAAUCCUUUUCAUAUAUUUUUGUUCAAGACUUUGUUUUAGAAUGCUCUUUUACUAAUUUGGUACAGGUCCCUAAAAUCUACGCCUUUAUGAGGCAACGUCUUUAUUUCUUUGGUUAUUCCAGUUUAGAAUAUAUUUGUACAAAUGAGAUGACUCCCAACAUAAAGUCACAUUCAACCAAAAAGCAUGAAGUCACACACAAAAAGAACACGGACAAUUGCUAAGUUUAUCUUGUAUCCUUAUUUUAUUGAUCCAACCCAAUUGAAAAAUAAAAAAGAUGAUAUAAUAUAUUGUUCACUGCUUACAUCCAUGAGUAAAGUCCUCCAUUUGAAAUUGCGUGAUUAUACAAAAUUGGAAUGAAAAAAGAAAAUCCUACAACUAAAUUUGAUAUAUUCCUUUUCAUUUUAUGUUGGAUGUUAAGUUUUCUUGUUUCUUGUUGAAAAGAAAAAUGAAAAGAAAUAAAUAAAUUACACAGCUAGCAACUUCUCCACCUUCCCUUCUUCCCAUGUACUGACAACAAGGGAGGCCUUCAAUCCAAAAUAAAGACAAGGGAUGCCAGGUCAGCAUCUCAGAUAAGUAUCCCAACCAAAACCAAUCAAAUAAUGACAUAUGUAUCUCUUUUUGUGUUUUGUUCUAUUUCUCUUUGAAUUAACUGCGAAGUUUCAUAAGCGUGUCCUCCUUUUGAAAUUGUGUAUUAUUCAAAAUUGGAAUUUGCUGGUCAUACUUGAUAUAAGCUAAAACAGUUUCCAACAUCUUGUACCAUUUUUUUCCAGUGUGGGUCAUAACUUGAAGAAGCCCACCGACAAUUUCUCAAAAGCUAUUACCAUCCAACUUUGAAAAAUAAAAGUUUCAAAAGUUACCCCAAACAACAGCCCUUGAAAGAGAGUUUUCCAAGGCUAAAGAUUACAAGGAUGUUAUUGGCACAUGCAUUAACGUGUGACAAGAAGUUAGUUAUAUUUAUAAAGUAAAAGAACGAAGUACAUAACAUGUAAGUUGAUGCCAAAUAUUUGAUCAACAGAGCUAAACAUAAAACCACGACAAUAUAACGUUGUUCACCAAAAAUUGUGUUUCGUUGAGGGUCAGUAGUGUAGGUUUCAAGAUACGAUUUAUUUUGUUAAAGAAUAUUCUGAUAUUCUAACAAUAAAAUUGGCUCAAUUUGAUAUGUUUCUUUUUUUUUUUGUUUUUGUUUUCCCUUUCAUUUUAUGCUUUGUUGUGCUAUUGCUAAGUUUAUCCUAGAGACCAGGGAUGCUUAGCAAGUUUCUUCACCUGCCCUUCUUCCCAUGUACUAACUAGGGAUACCAUGUCAGAAUCUUAGAUAAGAAUCCCAACCCAAUCAAACUAUGACAUCUGUAAGUAUUCAAAAUUGGAAUUUGCAUUGUGAUAGUUGAGUGGAAGAAUCGAUUAAGGCUUGAGUGGAAGACAAACUUCAGUGGAGGAAAGUAAUUAAUCUCACAAGACAUAGCCCAUCAGUUGGCUCAUUUUUCUUGAGUGUGUAGUCCUGGCCUUGAGGCGAGGCCACAUUGCUUUGGAGAUUUCUUUCUACUUGGUGAAAUUAUAAUUUAGAAGAAGCAAACUGCGUUUUGCAAUUUGUGCGAUUCAAGCAUAUCUGACACUAGUAAUUAGACCAUAAUCUUUGUCCGACCAGAAAAUAAGAAAAGUUGUCUUGUACCAUUUCUGCCAGUGUGGGUCCCACCCACCCCAUACGAGUAAUUUGAAGAAGUCCACCGACAAUUUCCCAAAAGCUUUGGCGUCCAACUUUGCCGACCCCAUCCCCAUGUGAGGCCAUAGAAAAGUUUUCAGCCACAAUCAAAGAAGGGAACAGUCCUUGAAAAGAGAGGGUUUUCCAAGGCCAAGAUUACAAGUUCAUGUUAUUUACAGUCUCAAAAAGCUUCCAUACUUGUUUACAAACCUGUAUUUUCAAGUUGUGCUAGCCUAGCUAUUUGCAAAUCUUGGAAUAUUUUACUUCAUCCAAAUCCCUUGCAGUCUGCAGAGAAGAUAAAAGACAUGGCUUUGAUUGGAGAGGCUCUUAUCUCUGCUUCCGUCCAGGUGUUGUGCGACAGAAUUACUUCACCCGAGUUCGUUGACUUAUUUUGGCACAAGAAACUCGAUGAGCCACUCCUCAGGAAGCUGAGGACGACACUGUUGGCCUUGAACUUGGUGCUCAAUGAUGCAGAGGGGAAGCAACUUGUGAACCGAGAUGUGAAAAAGUGGCUUGACGAGCUCAGACAUGCUGUCUUUGAUGCGGAGGACUUACUGGAUGAGAUUGACACUGAAGCUUUGCGAUGCAAGCUGGAAGAAGGUGAAGAUCAAACUCACAAAUUUACCAAUAAGGUGCGGAACUUGCUCUUUUCUCCUCGUAGUCAUUUUUAUCAGAGCAUGAAUGAUAAGAUAAAAGAGUUACUAGCAAGGUUAGAAAACUUUGUACAACUGAAAAGUGCUCUUGGUCUGGGAGAAGUUGCUGGGAGGAAGGUUUCGCAAAGAACUCAAACAACCUCCUUGGUUCUUGAACCUUAUGUAUAUGGUAGAGAUGAAGUCAAAGAAAAGUUAUCAAAAGUGUUGCUAUCUGAUGAAGCAGGCAAGGAUCCUGUGUCUUUCCUCACCAUUGUUGGAAUGGGUGGGGUUGGCAAGACAACCCUUGCUCGAAUGCUUUACAAUGACGAUAAGGUGAAAGGGCAUUUUAAACUUAAAGCUUGGGCUUGUGUUUCAGACUACGAUGAUUAUAUUAAAAUUACUAAAACUCUCCUUGAGGCAGUCACUUCAAAGCCUUGUAACACGGCAAAUCUGAAUUUGCUUCAAAAAGAUCUAAGAGAGCAAUUGAGGGGAAGGAAAUUUUUAUUUGUGUUGACCUAUGGAAUGAGAAUAAUGAGGAUUUGAACUACCUUAGAGCUCUUUUUAUUACUUUAGGAACAAUGGGAAGUAAAGUCAUUGUAACAACACGGAACAAAAAUGCAGCAUCUGUCAUGCAAAAUGUUCAUAUUCAAUACUUAGAACCAUUGUCGUAGGAGGACUGCUGGUUAUUACUUGCAAAACAUGCAUUUGGAAAUGAAAAGUGUAGUGCACAUUCAAACUUGGAAGACAUUGGAAAGCAAAUUGCACUCAAGUGCAAAGGGUUGCCUUUAGCUGCACAAACACUUGGGAGUUUGUUACGUUGCAAUAUGGAUUUCGAGUACUGGAAUAGAAUACUAAAUGAUAGUUUUUGGGACCAACCCUAUGAUAAAACUAACAUUCUUCCGGCUCUAGGGUUGAGUUACCAUUAUCUUCCUACUCAGUUGAAACGAUGCUUUGCUUAUUGUUCAAUUUUUCCAAAGGAUUAUGAGUUUGAAAAGGAAGAUAUAGUUCAAUUAUGGAUUGCAGAAGGUAUAAUUCCACAAGCUGAGAAUGGAAAAAGGAUGGAAGCAUUGGCUAGAAUAUACUUUGAUGAGCUGUUAUCACGAUCGUUGUUUCAAAAGUCAAGUAAAUUCAGCUUCAUUAUGCAUGAUCUCAUUAAUGACUUGGCUAUGUUCAUGUCUCAGGGGUUUUGCCUUAGGCUCGAAGAUGGGGUAUCCCGUGAAGUUAAAAGAGCUCGUCAUUUGUCAUAUGCUAGGGGAGAAUUUGAUGCUGCUCCAAGAUUUGAACCAUUAUAUGAGGCUAAAUGUUUGCGGACCUUCCUACCUACCAUUUGUUGUGGGCAAAUCUACUGGAUCAGGCAUAAGAGAACUGAGGCAGUUCCCGCAACUUCGAGGAAAACUAUCAAUUUUGAAGCUACAAAAUGUAGUUGAUGCGAGGGAUGCACUGCACGCCAAUAUGAAGCACAAGAAAGAUCUCAAGGAGUUAGAGCUUUCAUGGGGUGCGGAGGAUGCUGAUGAUUCCCAAAAGGAGAAAGAUGUACUCGACAAGCUCCAGCCUUGCGUGAAUUUGGAGAAAUUAACCAUCAAAUUCUAUGGUGGAACUAAUUUUCCGAAUUGGUUAGGAGACUCGUCUUUUUCUAACAUACAAGUCAUGCAUCUCAGUGACUGUAGUUAUUGUUGGUCGCUCCCACCAGUUGGACCGCUACCGGCACUCAAACAGCUCUGUAUAAGAAGAAUGAAGUUUGUGAAGACGAUUGGCGUUGAAUUCUAUGGCAGAAAUGGAGCUUAUCUGACUCAGCCAUUUCGAUCUCUGGAGAAGCUAGAGUUUAGGGAGAUGCCAGAGUGGGAGGAAUGGGUACCAAGUGGAAGUGCAAGUGGAGGUGAAUAUGGUCCAGACUUUCCUCGUCUCCAGGAGCUGAUUCUAUACGAGUGUCCGAAGCUAAGAGGAAGUUUGCCUUGUGAGUUGCCUUGCUUGAAGAAGCUUACGGUGUAUGGGUGUAAGGUUUUACAUGAUGGAAGGGCCAUUACCGCAACUACCAAUAGUCUUAACUAUAAAUCUCUGGAAGAAUUGAAUAUAAGUGGUGGAUGCCAAACUCUGUUAUCAUUAUUAGAGACAAAGCUCCUGUCCGGACUUGAGAUUCGAAAUGUUGUUGACAUACAGUGCUUGCCCAACUGCAGUCGUCUUCAACAUUUGACUCUUUCGAAUUGUCCAACGCUGUCAUCAUUUCCCAAAGAUGGCCUACCCACUACAUUGACAUCACUUUAUAUAAACAAUUGUAGGAAAUUAGAAUUCCUACCUCAUGAGAUGUUGGCCAAAUUAACAUCGCUUGACUAUUUGUGCAUACAAAAUAGCUGUGAUUCAAUGAGGUCCUUCCCGUUGGGCAUUUUUCCCAAAUUGACGAGGCUUGAAAUUCGUGGUUGUGAGAAUCUGGAAUCCCUUUCCUUGAUUGAAGAAGAAGGAGCUGUUGAGAAUCUCAGCCAUCUCAAUUACUUGCAAGUCUAUAACUGUCCAAAAAUGGUGUGUUUUCACGAGGGAGAAUUGCCCACUCCCAACCUGAGUCACUUUGUAGUCGGUGGUUGCGAGAAUUUGAAGUCAUUGCCCAAAAGCCUUCACACCCUCACUGCCCUUCGAUCUUUGUCGAUAUGUAAUCUUCCGAAUCUGGAGUCAUUUGCAGAAGAUGGGGGUUUGCCUCCCAACCUCCGACAAGUAAGUAUUAGGAAUUGUGAGAGACUGAGGGCUUCAUCAGUGGGUUUGCAAGCACUUGACUCCCUUGAGAUCAGUGGAAGUGACCAUGUAUUCUCUAUCACACUCUUCACAUCUAUUCUCUAUCAACUCUGAAAUCUUUGGACGGAAAGGGUCUUGGACACCUCACUUCUCUUCAAGAGCUAGAUAUUAACAGGUGUCCAAGUCUGGAAUUCCUGCCAGGAGAGGAACUUCAACACCUCACUUCUCUUCAAAAUCUAUACAUUUGGAACUGUCCCAGUCUUCAAUGCUUGCCAGAAGAGGGUUUUCCAUCAUCUCUUUCUCAUCUGAGUAUCCGCCGGUGUCCUACCCUGGAGGAAAGGUAUAAGAAUAAAACGGGACGAGAUUGGGCCAAGAUAUCUCACAUUCCUUGCAUCGAGAUAGGCAACGAAGUGAUCAUAUAAUAUGAGCUAUUCCAUAUUUCACGCUCAACCCUCAACUCUCAAAUCAAAGUCAGGUGAGGUAUGUGCCUUCUCUUACUUUAAAAAACUGCUGCUCAAUAACACUCUUCGCACUCUAUAUAUUAUGGCCUGUCAGUCUAAAAUUCCUGCCAGGAGAGGAACUUGAACGCCUCUCUUCACUGCAAAGGCUACAUAUUUGUGGGUGUGACAAUAUCCAAUUCCUGCCAGAAGAGCGUUUGCUGCAAUCUCUUUCUUAUCUGUGCAUCGACCAUUGUUUUGCCAUGUAGAAAAGGUAUCUCACAUUCCUUGCGUCAAGAUAGGUGAAGAAGUGAUCAUAAGAUAUGAGCUCUCUCUCCCUCUCGCUCACAUACAAAGUACUUAAAACACUCAAUCUGAUUUCUAUUAUUAUUUUGCUCAGUAAAUUUUGUUUAAAUUUGCUUUGUUUCUCAUUGCGCUUGUUCUGCUUAUCACAACUUAUAUCCUAUUUAAAUCUCAAAUGCUGAAUAGUUAGCAGUCUUUUCGCAGGACAGCAUAUCUUCUCUUGGAGAGCUAUUCAUUUGCAAGGUUUCUUUAUGUGUCAUUUCCAGAGGAGGGUUUACUAUUUAAUAGAAAGGUUCACCUGGAAUAUCUCAAAUGACACAUUCCCAAAUACAGGCAUUGAAUGCACAACAUUUUGAGGUACUAUUUUUGUAAUAAAAAUGUACUUGAGUCUCAUUUGAGCUAGUUUAAAUUGUAUUCAAUGUCUAUGGAUAACCUGUGAGCUUAAGUUGUAAGAUAAAACUCACAGUAUAUUAUUAGGGUUUAGGGUUCAACAGGUGAGCUUAAGUUGUACUUUCCUAGGUACUGCAUGUAUAUUAUCUUAGUAUCAACACUUGGUCUUAUGUGGACGAGAGAGAACAUUUGAGGAAUUACAAAAUCUUCUUAGUGAAUUAAGCUUGUUUCAGCUCUGUUUGUCAUCCCUCACAUUUUCUUUGUUAAGCCUUGAUUUUUUAUUAGACAUACGAAAAAAUGCUUUUAUAAGACAGGAGAUGAAUGCUUUUAUAUGUUGAUGUCGUAGUCAGUCUUCAACCACACUCUGUUUUUAGAAUUCAUUUAUGUUACUAGUUGAGAGCUGCUGUAUUUUAUAUUUCGUUCCUGUAAUGUUUGGAUGUUUAGCUUGAGCAGUCUAGCUUAUCCAGUAGAUAACUUGUCCCCUGUUUUGUAAUGUUUUUGUUUCCUCUAAUGAAAGCAGGUUUUACUUAUCUUGAACUGCAGAAGCCUACUUUUUGACAUAGGUGGCAUGGCACAAACUCGCAUCCGCAUUUCCAUCCCCAUUGGCAUGCUGUCUCAUCUUUUCUAUUCUGUUACCAGCUUGAAGCUUGUGUGGACAUGUUAUGCUCUUGUAAUUCUGAUCACAAACAUCACUUGACAAAUGGAAAGUCACAAUCAGAUCUUUCAGGUGAUCUGGAGGUUUACUUUCUAACAUUUGUUUUCGUGGGGGGGAGACAACAAUACAGAAUUUAAAAUUUCUGAUAAUCAAUAGUAGUUUGCAUAUAUCAGCUGGGACCUGUAUGACUGUAUUAUGUAAUUAAUUAUUUCUCUUAUUGUUUGGGUACUGUUAAAAGGAGUUAGCCACACAACAUAAAAAAGGAGGUCUCUUAUUUCAUACAAUUUUUCAAAUGUGAUCAUUAAUCCGUUUCUUUUUCAACAAUAGAGGAAUGUAUACUAAUCGUCUGGUCCAUCUGCUGCUUCACUCCCUAGUAGCUUCAUCUCCUGUCCUUUGCUUUAUUUCUGUUGAUGAAUGUUUUGUCUGGGUUAUUUAUUUUCAUUUCAUGUCCAUUGCUUUAUUUCUGUUUGGAUUCUUAAUUAAAUCUGUCCUGGACUUGAACAAGGGUUAGGUUAGCUGUAUAAUUUGCGGUUUUAUAUACACAACUGUCUACAUUGAUUAAAACCAGCAUUAUUCUAAGGUUCAUUUAGAAUGUAUUAUCACCAAAAUUAUAAAGAAUACUUCUAUUACAAUUAAUUUGUUGAUUCUAAUUUGGACUUGUAGGAACAGACCAAACAUGUUCAUGCGUGGCAUUGCUCAAGUCAUCAUCAUUCGAGACAGAGAAUAAGCCUUCAAGUGUCUGCUGAGUCAAUGAACCUUUCUAGAUAUCUCAAGUGUAAUGGAAAUUGAUGAGUUACAAAGGAUUUGUAAACAUUUUCUACUGGAGGCUAGAAAUGCUUCAAAUAAAUGACCGUGUUGCAAUUAUUUUGUAGGAUCAAAGACUCUGCAAAGAGGUAAGAAAGUCAUCAUCAAGUAACUUUGCUCUUCAAACUUUUUAUUUUUAUUUUUAAAUAUCAGUAAUAACUGGGAAAGCUUGCAUCUCCUUAAAUUGCUCAUUCUUACAUCUUUUAUAGUUUGUUGAUCUUGGGCAAGUGGAGAGAGAGGCGUCAAGUGAUACGCAACAACCAUUUUCUGUGAGCUGAUUUGAUAAAGAGAAAUGGUAUGCUUUCUUGUCUUAAGCGGUGUGUUCUGCAAUUAUUUGAAACAAAGGAUGCCGCACUUCAAGUUCGAGAAAAUCAGGUAUUUUAGUAUUUUAUUCUUGAGAAAUUUGAUUUAUGUAGAAACUUGAACAUGUAAAUAAAAUAAAUAAAAUAUAUUAUAUGCUGUUAAUGAGUUAAUAUGGUGCUUGCUUCUAGUUGGAAAUUUAUGUAGUCAUCUACCUAUGAUCAAAUAAAGAUGAAGAAUAAAAUAUAAUUGAGAGCAUCUUCCUCUCCCCUGCUUUGCUCAUCCCUUGUUCUUCCACUUCAGCCCCACUAUUACACCAUUUUUUCAGCCACAAUUAUAAUAGCUCCAUGAGCAUUAAGUCCUUUUCAAAUUCUGCUGACAUUCAAAAUUGGAAUUUGCUGGUGAUAUAUGAUAGCAUCUUUGUCCGACCAAAAAGAGAAAAAAAAAAAGUUGAUAGCAUAUUGUACCAUUUUGGCCAGUGUACGCAAUAUUAUUGCAUCCAACUUUGCAUAUUAACAUCAGUGGCCACAGUUCCAUGAUUUGAGUGCACAGAAAAGUUUCAAAAGUUGUCCCACAAAGAACAGUCGUUCAAAGUGAAAGAGAGAUUUCAAAGCUUAAUUACAAGUUCAUGUUAUUUACAAUAUCAAAAAGCUUUCAUACUUGCUUACAAACCUGUAUUUCCAAGUUCUGCAAACCUUGGAAUAUCACUUCAUCCAAAUCCCCUUCCAAAGCAGGAAAAAAUGGCAGCAGCUUUGAUUGGAGAGGCUCUCAUCUCUGCUUCUAUCGUGGUGUUGUGUGACAGAGUUACUUCAGCCGAGUUCAUAGACUUAUUUCAGCAGAAGAAACUUGAUGAAACACUCCUCAUGAACCUGAAGACGACACUGUUGAUUUUGUUUGCGGUGCUCAAUGAUUCAGAGGAGAAGCAAAUUGUGAACCCUGAAGCUUUGCGAUGCAAGCUGGAAGGUGAGGAUCAAACCCACAAUAAUUAACCAAAAAGGAUCUUUUUGAUUGUUUGAAAGGAGGGUCUUGAUGAUUUGAAAGGAGAGGGUUGCUUUAUUUCUGUUGGAUGCUUAAUUAAAUCUUAUUUGGAGUUGAACAAGGAUUAGGUUAGCUGUAUAAUUAGUGGUAAACGCCUUUUUCUAAGGGUCAUUUAGACUCCUAUUACGAUUAAUUUGUUGUUUCUAAUUUGGACUUGUAGGAACAGACCAAAUAUGUUCACACGUGGCAUCGCUCAAGUCAUCAUCAUUUCAGACUGAAAAUCAGCCUUCGAGUGUCUGUUGAGUCAAUAAACCUUUCUAGAUAUAUCAAGUGCAAUGGAAAUUCAUGAGUUACAUAGAGAUUUUUAAACAUUUUGAAGAUUGCAACACCUGCAAGUGAGAUAGGCGGUGACGAAAUCAGAGCUGAUUUUGAAGCCUCUGAUGCCCCUGUUGUUGCAAGUUGCACCUGAGAACAAGUUUUUUUUUUCUUUGGGGUAAAAAACUGGCAACAUGUUCGGAGCUGACAAUUCAAUCCCUGAUGAACUAGAGAAGCAAAGCUCCGGUAAGGAAAUUGGUCAAGGUUGUGACAGGGAUGAUUGAUGGUGAAAUGGAUGCUAUUUCUUAUUGCAGCCUGUUCUCAAAGUUCUUGUUGGCAAAUGCAAUUGAUGGAGUAUUUUGAUUGGGAGGAGAGAUAAUGACAUGGCUUGACAAUUCUAGAACAGCCCAUCAUUAAUCCCAGAAAAAAUCCCGUUUCUGCUAAACAAUCACUUAUGGCAAGGCCAACUCUGUAAAUGGAAUUUGUGAUCCCUUCAAAUUGUACACAUUUUUUCUUUUUGAGGAAUUUAAUCAAACAGUAUUCUAAUGCAUUAUGAUAGCACUACACGCUUUUGUUGUAACAAAUUACAAGGAGGAAUUUGGAUUGAGUUUCUUGUAUAAGCACACCUUACACAAAUUUCGUAUAUUUUCUUCCAGCAAGUCUGUUUAUUAACCCCCUUAUCUGAAAUUAAUUGUUAAAAGUUUUGAUUCAUCUUUAAUCAGUGUCUUACCCUUGUUGAAUAACACUCCUCUUUCUAAUUUAUAUUUGAAGUUUGAGCUUUCAAUUUCAAUUGUGGGCUUUGAUUUUUCAGAUUUUGUUUGUCAAUUUCAGUUUGGACAAAGCAUAUAUGCAAACAAAGUAAGCAUUUUAUGUUAUACUUUUGAACUAGGUGUUGAUUUGAUUUAAUCAUAAGUUUUGCUGGUGCAUUUACUAGGCUAAUCAUUCAAUACUUUUGAUCAUAGAACUUCUUUGGUUGAUAUUAUCUUUGUUAAGUUUAACCAUAACUUUAGAGAGGGGACUUCAACAGAUUUAUAAUCUCAUCAUUAUAGUAUUAAAAAUUAGAGAUUAUUUAAGGCAUUGUCUAUUAUCUGAAUUCUGCUUACUUUUAGUUCAUAUGUUUACAUCUUAGCAUAUUCAUGUGAUUAGUGCGGCUCAUACCACAAAGGCAAUUUUAGGCUCAUCAAGUGCUAAGCAAUGUCAAGCUUCCAAAUGACAAGUUCUCUACAUAGUUUGAGACCUACACUUACUAGAUAUUAGAUCAUUUCGAUCAUUUCCAUAUGUUUAUAUGUAAUUGACAUGUUAUAACAUUUUUGUAGCGUUAUAUAAUUAUUUAGCAAUUUAAUUAUUUCUUUGCAACUUAAUUUUUUUUGUCAAUCAUACUAUUGUUGACUGCUAAAAACCAUCAAGAAAUAGUUCUCAAGUUAUAAAAAAAAAAAAAUUUUAAAAAAGAUUUGUUGAUGCUUAAAAAGCAUCAAGAACAGAUAGUUUCUUGACGGUUUUGUGACAUUUCAUAACUGUAGGGGGCUUUUUCUUCCGACAGCUGUAAAUGGGCUGGGCUGCCGUAAAGGGCAGACUGAUGAAAUUGUCCCCUUUUGUAUGAGCUCAAAAAUUAAGCCCCAAAAUACUUUGAAAGGGCAGCAGAGCCUUAGGAAGUAUUUUGGUUACCCUCACCAACUAAAACAACAACAACUUACAGGUAAUUACUUAAUGCUUAUGGAUGAACUCUUGAGCUUGGCAUGAGAGACAUAUGGCAUGGAAGCAAAAUCAACAUGAGUUUAGCACUGAGGGGAAAUUUAGGCUCUCUUGGGGGAAAAAGGGAAGUGUUAAGGUGAGAGAGGAGAAGUUUGUAGGAGAUUUAGCUAAGAAAGGAGAAAUAUAGAACAAUGCUCUUUUGGCAGCUUGACAGAUGCUCUGUUUGCCAGAAAAGGAAGAUGGAGAAGAAAUGUGAAUAGUGCAAGAGUUUGCUAGAUUUUUGCAGGUAAGAGAGGAAGCUUGCUCUCUGGGUCUGAGUUGAGUUUUUUUGUGUGGAAGAGACCUCAUUUUAUAGCCCUUGGAAACCAUCACUUCCCAAGAAACCCUAAUGGCUUCUACCCAUUUUGGCCAAGCUUUUCCCUUCCUUUCUCAUUUCCUUCCUUGACUUUACCCCUCUUGAUGAAAUCCCCUCUGCCUAUUUGCACCAUAUCAGAGUUUUUUGAAGCUCAAGGCCCCUUUUUCCCGCAGUUGUCUCAAUGGGAGACUUCCAUUCCCAGUCAUCUCCUUUAUUGCUUUCCUUUCUUUUUUUCAUGGCCAAGUUUGGUGGGGAAAGGAGUUGGGAUAUAUAUGCUGGUUUGAAGGGUGCUUCUCUUCCUGGCAUCUUACACACUAAUACCCCUUGGUUCCUUGAAUGUUUUGGCUUUGAAACUUGCUCUCCCCCCCCCCCCCCCCCCCCCCAUGUACUGGAACCUACCAGCAGCUCUAUUCAAUGAAUCUUCAGACCUUCUCUUCGUGGCUUUUAUUUUUUAUCAACGGGCUGGGGCUUUUGUGGCUCAUUGUGGCAAUUGUAUGGGCUAAGGUGGUUCAUUAAGUAAGUGGGCUAUUUUUAUUAAACAUUAGGCUUUUUGGUUGAGUCACUAGGCUAUUUUGAUUGGGCUAUUGGGCUAUUUUUUUCCUCUCUUGUGCUCACCCACAUGUUUGGACCAAAGAAAUGAGCUUGAGUCCUGAGGCUCCCAAGCGACCCGAGACUUUCCAUUUCUGGCCCAUCAAUGGGCCUCAUGUUGAUUUAUUACCAUCCAUACCACAACCCACUCAAGCAGGCUCCGGGCAUUUGAAUGACUUGGGCGCACUUAGGCUUGUAGUGUGGUUGGGUGCGAAAUAACGAUUUCGUGCUUGGCAUGUUUUAAUUUUAUCAUCCUUGGGAAAGGCUGCGAUGUUUGAUUUCGGCAUGGGCUUGUAGAGCUGGUAUGCUUUAUUUCAACUCCUAGCAUGACGAAUUAUUUAUUUAGCAUGGCACGUGAAUUACAACUCGCAUGUGGUGGGUUUUUGUGUACUACACCUUACGCCUCUUCUUAAUAGAACAUCGUUUUGGGCUGAUAAUUUAUUCGGGCCAAACCGUGAAUUUUUUGGGUCUCAAUAAUAACCAUCAUGAAACAUUACAUUUUGACUGACGUCAAGAAAUGGGGUAUCCCUUUCCUGAUAGUGGCAUCCAUGAUGCCUUCCAAGCAGUCAAUUAAGGGCUAUCGUGAUGCAUUUUAGUUGUCAGCAAAAGGUGUUUUUCUUGUACUGUAUUCACUCAAAGUCGUGUUUCAUUUAAGAUUAGUAGUAUGGUUGAAUACCAUUUGUUUUGUUAAAGAAUAUUAUACAUUAGGGAUUUUUGUAGAAAUGUCAUUUGAACUUAUACCUUAGUUUCAAUUUGUCACCUUGAAGAAAAAUUUAAGAGAAAUGUCACCUUAAUUUUUAAAAAUCCAUGAUUUGUCAUAUGACUUUAAAAUCAUCCAAUUUUCCAUCCAUUUUAAGGGUAUUUUAGUCUUUUCAUUUUGAAGGAAAAAAAAGAGAUGAAAAAAGAGACCUCUCUCUUACUUUGUCCCUCAACCCAACCCCACCCGCCCCCCAAAACACAUCACAUAGGAUUGCCUCCCCCUUCCCCACUUUUCUUUUUUCUUUUUGUCCUACUUUUCCACUAUGUUUAUGUUGAAGGAUCUAAAGUUUGCUUGGUCACCAUCUGUUACGUAGGCUUCCCAAUUGUUAGUUUGGGUGGGUUGUGGGAAUUUGUGUGCUCGAAACCCGAGACGAAUCUUGUGGAAUUCCCGACAUCACACCGAUGCCGGGCCCACUUCUGAACUAAAUUCUCUUUUCCAAAAUUAAGGAAAAAGAGUACGAGGCUUUCUGCCGAAAUUUCGACAGAGUAUUCCCUAUAAAUUUAACAUUUCAGCUUUGGUGGCCGUUCUCUCAUUUCAGCUUUGGUGGCCGGAUGAGAGAACGGUCGGCUAAAACGUGGCCAGCUGGCACUGCCGUCGCGAGAGAGAGAGAGAGAGAGAGAGAGAGAGAUUUUUAUCAAAUCAUUUUUGCCAAAAUUACGAUUAUGCAACUGAGGGUAUUUUGAUCGUAUCUUUUUCAUUAUAACUCUGAUUCAAGCCCACUACGUGUUUACGGACUCAUCUCGCCGUGCUCUAUGCAAUUGUAUAGUUGAAAUUCCCAAAUUCCACCCCAGUCAAAAAUUCAACUUUAAACCCUACAAAAUAUUAUAGGGGCAAAAUGGUCUUUUAUCUAAUUAAAUUAAUAAUUGAAAAUUUAUUUAGGACCGGGUUGUUACACUGUCGUUGAUGGACUGUGCGAUGACACUCACACAAAGUCCUUGAGAAUAAAACACACACACACCAUGAAGAGAGUAAAACAAAUACACAAGUACACAAAGAUUUAUAAAGGUUUGGCCUUCUGCCUACGUCCUCUUGGUGAUCCACCCGAGAAAUUCACUAGUACGUAAGAACAACUUUGGUUACAACUAAACCCCCUUAGCUUUCAUAAGAACCCUAGAUCUCUUUUCUCCCACCCUUGCUCCAACCCUUUGAUGCCCUUGUAAACACUCAAGAAUUCACCCUUGAAUUCUGUCAUGUGUUACAUCUUCUCUUCUCCCCUUUGUUAACCUAACCCUAAAAGUUAUAUUUAUAAUUCAUAGGACUUUAAGUACAAGUUAACUAGGAAUAGGAAACAUAAUAGACCUCAAAAAUUGGAGAAAAUAUGUUUAGAUCUCGUUAGGAAAUUGCACAACACGUGCGAUCCGCUCGAGCGCCUGCAAAAUGAUCCCUUUGUCGCUCAAGCUGCCGAUAGCUCAUGGGAUGGGGGAAUUAGAGAUUUUUUUUUUUUUCAAUUUUAAUUGUUUAAAAGAUAUACAAUUUUUUAAUAAUAAUUUUUCCAUUUUUAAAAUACCCUUGAAAAUAGAAAGAUUAAAAUGCCCUUAAAAAUGGAUGGAAAAUUGGAUUGCGUUAAGGUCAGUUGACAAAUCAUGGAUUUUGAAAAAUUAAGGUAACAUUUCUCUUAAAUUUUUCUUUAAAGUGACAAAUUAAAAUUGAGGUAUAAGUUCAAGUUACAUUUAUGCAAAAAUCCUUAUACAUUAUGAUAUUCUAACAAUAAAAUUGGCUAAAAUUGAUAUGUUCCCUCUUUAUUUUCUUUUUCUCUUUUCCUUUUCAUUUUAUGAUCCAAUCCUUUUCAUAUAUUUUUGUUCAAGACUUUGUUUUAGAAUGCUCUAUUACUAAUUUGGUACAGGUCCCUAAAAUCUCGGAGCCGCCUUAGUACAUUCAUAAUGUACAUGUUCAGAGUUCAAGAAUAAUGUAUAGAAUGUGAAAUUGACGAUGCCGGCCUUUAUGAGGCAACGUCUUUAUUUCUUUGGUUAUUACAGUUUAGAAUAUUUGCACAAAUGAGAUGAUUCCAAGCAUAAAGUCACAUUCGACCAAAAAGCAUGAAGUCACACACAAAAAGAACACGGACAAUUGCUAAGUUUAUCCUUGUACCCUUAUUUUAUUGAUCCGACCCAAUUGAAAAUUAAAAAAAGAUGAUAAAAAAUAUUGUUCACUACUUUAAAAUCUAUGAGUAGAGUCCUCCAUUUGAAAUUUCGUCAUUAUACAAAAUUGGAAUGAAAAAAGAAAAUCCUACAGCUAAAUUUGAUAUAUUUCCUUUUCAUUUUAUGCUGGGUGUUAGGGCUUGUCAAUGGGCCGGGCUAGGCUAGCCCGGCUCAAAUUUAAUGGGCUUGGGCUAGGCCGGGCCAAGCUUUAAAGAGGAGAGAGAAAAUAUCCGGCCGAGUUUUUUAAGAAAAUUCAAAGCCCAAGCCCGAAUCACUGCUGUCUAGCCCGGCCCAAAUUUAAUGAGCUUGGGCCAGGCCGAGCCAAGCUUUAAAGAGGAGAGAGAAAAUAUCCGGCCGAGUUUUUUAAGAAAAUUCAAAGCCCAAGCCCGAAUCACUGCUGUCAUUUCAUUGAUUUGUGACGAGCACAACCACCAAAUCAGAAUUUACUCACGAAAAUAUCAAGUAUGUCUAGCAAAUUUCAAUUUUGAAUAAUACACAAUUUCAAAAGGAGGACAUGUUGCAAGACAGCAUACCUUCUCUUGGGGUGCUUUUCAUUUUGCAACAUUUCUUUACGUGUAAUUUCCAGAGGAGGGUUUAUCAUUGUAUAUAGCUUUUCGGGUGGUUUGUCUACAAAACAAAUGUCACAAAGAAGGAGGAGAAACGGAAAAGAUUUACUUGGAAUGUCUCAAGUCUCCUUUGAGAUAAAGGCAUCGAAUGCACAACAUUGCUUUUGUGCUAUUUCAUAAUUAAAGUGUGCUUCCCAAGUCUCCUUUGUGUUUUGUAACUUGUAAUGUUUGUUUUUUUGUUUCCCCUGUUUUCCCUCUUAUAAAAGAAAUACAGGUCCAAACCACACGGAUCUACUUGCAUAAUAAUGGACCAAAUUUAUGAUUUUUAGAAAGAACCUUCUGCCGGUGGAAUCUUGGGCUACUGUUGUGGCUCUCCUCUGUGUGCCUCCUUUUUAGAACGGUAAAAUAUUCAAAAUACUAGAAAAUGUUCGUGAUUAAUAUAAAUAUUAAGAAUUGAAAUUAUUAAUUAAAUGAGGAUAAUAUGGUAAAUUCACACUUUUUUAUAUUAAAAAAAUUAAAAUUAAAAGAAAAAUCAGAUAAUUGAUAUUAUUUUUAUGGAACACAGCUACUCAUUAUCUUUUUUAAUUCUAAAAUAAAUUUAAAUUAAAGAAAAAAACCCCUCUCACAGGCACGGAAGCGCGUGCUCAGAGGCUAGUUAAAAAUAAUGAACUUUGCUUCUGAAGACGUCUAUACCAGACCCACUCAACCUGCUUUAUGAUUAUACAAAGAACAAACUCGUCCUUAGACUCAUUUGGUUAAACUUAGAAAAUAAUGAAACAAAAAUAUGCACUCCCACAAGUAACACAGCCAGGAUUGAAAACAACUGGACAAAGAAAGGCAUGUUAAAACAGAAUUUUCAACAACUCAUCACCAUUAGACAAGAAAAAGAAAAAUCAAUACAAAAACAGAAAGAACAGAGAAUAAAUGUGGUGGAAGAAAAACGUUGAAGCCAUUUGUGAAUCCAACAACACUACCACUCUGUUUCUCUCCUUUUGUUCAGGCGGAUCUGCAUAUAUCCUAAGGCGUAUUACGGAAACAACUUCUUGCCGUUAUACUUGAAUGUUGUGGAUGCUUCAACGUUGCCAUCUGGGUGGAGUGGAUUUGUCCAAUUCACCUUCACUAUGGUAUAUACGUCCAAAUUGUUGUUAUUUGAAAGGCUUCUAAAUUUUAACAUUUUGAUUUUUAAAUUUUGUUUAAAUAUUUCGGCCCACUUAGUUCUUCUCAAAAUAUGUCAUCAAUAUCGUUGAAAGGUUGAACUUAGUGAAUUAUUAUAGUGCAGUACUGUAGAAUAGACACAUGAUAUAAUUUGUCCACAUGUUAUAAUAUAAGUAAAUAUUUAUUGAUAUUAUUUCUAAAAAUAAGAAAUAUCAACCAUUAUAUCCUCCCAUAUUAUAAUACAUAUACAAAUUAUACCACAUUAUCAUACUCUAAUACCAUUUUAUAAUUUCUCGUACUUAGAGCGAGUCAAUGACAUUACAUAAUAUAUAAUUGUUCAUAUAAUGGGGCAACUAACGUGAUCAACAAGUUGUGGUGAUUAAUUUAACAUAAUAAAAAAUAUACCAUUUACUUGAGUGAUGUAACAAUUUGUUCUUUUAAAUUGGAUUGCCAUCACUUUAAUAUGAUAUGUUUCUUAUUAUAGUGUCCCAUGUUAAGUGCUUCAGCAUUGUUUGUGGUGUGUACACAAAUUUUCUUAUAAAAUGUUUUAAUGCUUCUCACAUGUAUAUCAGAUAUAGACAGUUGAUGUGACUUAGAAAUCAAAUUGUCAAUAAAGCAAAAAAAUAUAAUUGGUGAUUGAGGUCCAAUUUAAUAGAAAAUAGUCUUAACUUGUAUAUUAGAGGUUUCAGAUUCGAAUCCUCACUGCAUUAUUGUUGUAUACGUACACGAGAAAUCCUCUUCUCCAAUAAUUUAGACUAUCACUUAUACUAAAAAAAUAUAUAUAUAUAAUGACUUUUACGGAUGCAAACAUAAAAUUACACCAAACAAUAAUGGAAUAGAAAGAUGCAAGUUAUUUUUUUUUUUUUUACAUCUAAAGUAUACUUUAUAUAUAUAUUUAUUAUGGGUGUUAUAACCGUUUAAUUUUCAGUUUUUAUUUUCUAUUUAUUGUUUUAAUUUUUAUGGUUUAAUGUGUAUGAAGAUUACAAGUAUUGGAUGUCUACCACUCCUCCUUCACAUCUGAAACAAACCACCAUCUCAUUUCUGUAUUUUCAUACUUUCAUAUAUUUUCUACUUUCCAGAUUAUUAUUUUUGGGCAACGGUUCUGUGACUUGCAGAUUUCUAUCCGAUUGUUAACAUGCUCAUAGCGGACCUUGAGCUUGCGUAUUGGGGAUCGUAUCUUGGAGCCUUAUAGACCUUUAUUACCUGCAUGUAGGGAGGUUAUAAAUGCUUUAGGUCAGCAUCUUUGACGUGCUUUUGCUUUCUUUUUUUUUUUACUUAUUUCUUCGUUUCUUUAUUUUUACUUUACUUUUAAAUUUUUAUUUUAUGUAUUAUUUAUAUUUAAAAGUUUUGAAUAAGAGUUUUACAGAAAAGGAAAAACACAAUUUCAAAUAACACAAAUUUCUCGUUUUUGGUUCUUAAAAUAAAUGAAUUUUUUACUUAUUUGUGAACUGAAAUGCCUCUAAAAAAAUAAUGAUAGUUUGAAGAAUUUGAUAGAAAUUAAAAAAUAUCCUCAAAUUACUUGGAAUUGAAGACCACAUAGGCAAAAACACCAUUUUGGACAAAGGCUGGUGAUAAUAGUCGAUAUCAUCUUUAAGUACUUUAAUAUGAUAUGUUUCUUAUUAUAGUGUCCCAUGUUAAGUGUUUCAGCAUUGUUUGUGGUGUGUACACAAAUUUUCUUAUAAAAUGUUUUAAUGCUUCUCACAUGUAUAUCAGAUAUAGACAGUUGAUGUGACUUAGAAAUCAAAUUGUCAAUAAAGCAAAAAAAUAUAAUUGGUGAUCGAGGUCCAAUUUAAUAGAAAAUAGUCUUAACUUGUAUAUUAGAGGUCUCAUAUUCGAAUCCUCACUGCAUUAUUAUUGUAUGCGUACAUGAGAAAUCCUCUUUCCUAAUAAUUUAGACUAUCACUUAUACUAAAAUAUAUAUAUAAUGACUUUUACGAAUGCAAACAUAAAAUUACACCAAACAAUAAUGGAAUAGAAAGAUGGAAGUUUUUUUUUUUUUUCCUACGUCUAAAGUAUACUUUAUACAGUCCCGAUCUCUUGGACCACAGGAGUCCAAGAGAUUGUGGUCACCCACCGUUGGAUAUUAAUCCAAUGGUUCAAAAUGAUAUAUAUAAAUGCAAUAUGACAUAAAUGAUUAUUACCCGAUCCAAGUCAACCGUUGAAUUUACAUUCAACGGUGGGUGACCAUAAAUCUCUUGGACUACAGGGGUCCAAGAGAUCAGGACUGAUACUUUAUAUAUAUAUAUAUAUAUAUUUAUUUAUUAUGGGAGUUAUAACUGUUUAGUUUUCAGUUUUUAUUUUCUAUUUAUUGUUUUAAUUUUUAUGGUUUAAUGUGUAUGGAGAUUACAAAUAUUGGAUGUCUAUAAAGGGCCACUCCUCCUUCACAUCUGAAACAAACUACCAUCUCAUUUCUGUAUUUUCAUACUUUCAUAUAUUUUCUACUGUCCAGAUUAUUAUUUUUGGGCAACGGUUCUGUGACUUGGAGAUUUCUAUCCGAUUGUUAACAUGCUCAUAGCGGACCUUGAGCUUGCGUAUUAGGGAUCGUAUCUUGGAGCCUUGUAGACCUUUAUUACCUGCAUGUAGGGAGGGUACAAAUGCUUUAGGUCAGCGUCUUCGACGUACUUUUGCUUUCUUAUUUCUUCGUUUCUUUAUUUUUGCUUUACUUUUAAAUCUUUAUUUUAUGUAUUAUUUAUAUUUAAAAGUUUGAAUAAGAGUUUUACAGAAAAGGAAAAAUACAAUUUCAAAUAACACAAAUUUCUCGUUUUUUGUUCUUAAAAAAGAAGAAGCAUUGAUUGGGGAGUUAUGGUAAACUCAAUUUCAAUGGUUGCGAUGAGAGGCGGUGGCGGCGAGGAGAGGACGAAGGCUUUGCUGCCGACGGGGUGGUGUGGGUGGGUGGAGACCUCGGCUGGCUGCUUGGUCCUGGGUUCUCCUUUAAUUCUCUGUUUUCUUUUUUCUUUUUCUUUUUCUCUUAGAGUUAUUGAUGUUAAGUGAAUGGACAGAUGCCAAAAUAGGGACAGAAGUAGGGGUGGGCAUCAAUCCGGCCGAUCCGGUCAAUCCGGCCGAACCGAUUAUAUUGGAUUGGUUUGGUUUGGUUUUGACCAAAGAAAAAGUCAACAUUUUGAAAAACCGAACCGAACCGGUUUGGUUUGGUUCAGCUGUGGUUUGAGAGUUUUAAAAACUGUCCUAAACCGAACCGGACCGAUUAUAAAUCAAUUUAUUAUUUAUUUAAUUUAGUUUACAUGUGGCAAGGUUUGUGUGCGUUUUGUGAGUCCGCGUAUCUGAAUGUUGGUGCACGUUUUGAUCUUCUAAUUUGCAUAUCCCAGUUAUUUGUGUGUGCUUGUAUUUCCCUCUCUUUCUAUCUCUACUAUGUGUGUUUGCUCUUUGUGUUGUGUGGCUCUUCUUACUCUAUCUAUCUUAAUUAAUGGGUCCAUUUCAUAAUUUCAUACGCAUUCAAACUCCACCUCUGUGAUAAAAACAUUUACCUCUUUGUGAUAAAAGCUUUUCAUUUGUUUGUAUUUCUCUUUGGCUUUUUGACUCACUCACUGUCUUUCUUUCUUUUAAUGCUACUUGUGAUGAAUGCAAUGAGUAAAUUUAAUGCUACUUGGUUAAUGCAAAUUUUGUAUAUGUUUGUUUUGAUGGAAAUUGUGAACUUAGAUGCAUGCUAGACAUUGGACAACCUUUGAAUAAAUGGAAUGAUGUUGUAUUAGCCUUUGAUGGAAUGAAAUGAAAUGAUAUAAUGGCAAAAUGUUAGCAUUAUAAUGUAAGAGCAGGUUGAAAAAUGCAUGGUUUUGUGUUAGGCACAAACCGGCCGAACCAAUCCGAACCAAACCGAUUACAAGUGGUUUGGAUUGGUUCGGUUUCCAUUAUGAUUUUAGGCUAAUCCGAACCAAACCGGACCGUUAUUUUCUUAUUGGUUCAGCUGUGGUUUGAGAGUAAAACCGAACCAAUCCGGACCGUGCCCACCCCUAGACAGAAGAUGUGAACCCAAUUAUAUACAGCUGAUUACAUAAAGUAACAAAUUAAUUAAUACUUGAGUGGAGGACAGGCUUGAGUGGAAGAAUUGAUUAAGGCUUGAGUGGAAGACCAACUUCAGUGGAGGAAAGUAUAGAUAAGGAAAGCAUGCCUCGUUUAACGGCUUUAUCUAAUAAAGAUUAGUUGUUGGCACUUGGAGUUUCUUAGGAAUGCUGGUUUUGUUUCCUUGGUGGACUUGAAAGGUGGUGCGUUGGCUCGGACAUCUCCCUAGUAAUUAAUCGAAGGUGGAAUCUUACAAGACAUACAGCUGCUCAUUAGCUGAAUAUCUCGCUCUCUUUAAAGAGAUCGAAGCAAACUGCAAUUUGCAAUUUGUGUGAUUCAAGCAUGAAUAUCUGAUAUAGUAACUAUACCAUUUGUUGGUUUGAUAAGAAAAGUUUGGUUAGCGAGGAUGAAACCAUAAAGUUCUCCAAAACACACAAAAAACACGAACAAUUGCUAAGUUUAUUCUUGAGUUCACACAUAUUUGUACAAAUGAGAUUACUCCAAGCAUGACUAUACCAUUUGUUGGUUUGAUAUGAAAAGUACGGGCAACGAGGAUAAAACCAUACAAACACACACAAAGAACGUGGACAAUAUACUAAGUUUAUCUUUGCGUUAUUGAUCCGACCUAACUGUAAAAUAAAAAAGAUAAAAAUAUAUAAUGUUCACUACUUAGAUCUAUGAGCACUAAAGUCCUCCUUUUGAAAUUGCACAAAACAUCACUUUUGGUCUUUGGUAAAUUUUUAAAAUAAAUGAAUUUUUUACUUAUUUGUGAACUGAAAUGCCUCUAAAAAAAUAAUGAUAGUUUGAAGAAUUUGAUAGAAAUAAAAAAAUAUCCUCAAAUUACUUGGAAUUGAAGACCACAUAGGCAAAAACACCAAAUUGCAACCUCACUUUAAUGAUAAAAAUGGUAAACUACAAAGACAAAAAUGACGUUUUGCCUUAUACAUAAUUGGAAUUUGCUGGUGAUAAUAGUCUACCAUCUUUUGUCGAUUUGCUGGUGAUAAUAGUCUAUCAUCUUUUGUCGGUCCGACCUAAAAAGAAGAAAAAGUUGAUGGCAUCUUGUACCAUUUUUGCCAAUGUGGGCCCAAACAAUUUGAAGAAGUCCACCGGCAAUUUCUCAAAAGCUAUUGUGUGAGUGUGAAGCUAAACCAAUAUUAUUUUGCAUAUACGACUCCACAUCCCCAUGUGAUGUGAGGCUACAAAAGUGUUUCCAAAACGAAAUAUGAUAUUUCAAAACGAAGCUAUGUAUAGAGUCAUUUGUAUUUGCUUUCACAAUAACAUUUGAUUUGUGAAAGCAUUUUAUAUUUAUACAUUCUGAUAUUCUAACAAAUAAAUUGACUAAAUUUGGCCAACAGGAUUUAGCCGAAUAGAAAAGUCCUUAUUUAUAGACUAGUGGUUUCAAAUUUAAAGUUUAGACUAUCGCAUGUAUUUAAAAAAAAAAAAACAAUUGGCUUAAUUUGAUAUAUUUCCUUUUUUUCCUUUUUCAUUUUAUACUGGGUGCCGUUAUUAAGUUUUAUCCUUAUUUUUUGUUGAAAAGAAAAUUGAAAAAAAAUAAUAAUUCCUACAGCUAGCAACUUCUCCACCUUCCCUUCUUCGCAACUAGGGAUGCCAUUGCAAGGUCACCAUCUCAGAUUAAGUCCUCCUUUUAAAAUUGUGUCGUUAUUCAGAAUUGGAAUAUAAUCCUGUACCACUUUGGCCACUUUUGAAGAUGUUCACCGACAAUUUCUCAAAAGCUAUUAAGCUGUACAUCCACAAUAUUAUUGCAUCCAUCCCCAUGUGAGGCUACAGAAAAAUUUUGAAAACGAAACUGGAUAUUUUAUCUCUAACAACAGCUUUCAUACUUCGUUUACCCUGUGUUUCCAAGUUGUGCUAGCUAUUUGCAAACCUUGGAAUAUUACUUCAUCCAAAUCCCUUGCAGAGAAGAGCAAGAUAUGGCUUUGAUCGGAGAAGCCCUCAUCUCCGCUACCAUCCAGACGUUUUGUGACAAAAUUGCUUCGCCUGAGUUCACCGACUUAUUUCGGCAGAAAAAGCUCGAUGAACAACUCCUCAACAAGCUGAAGACGACGCUGUUGACCUUGUCCGUAGUGCUUAAUGAUGCAGAGGAGAAGCAAAUUAAGGAACCUUUAGUGAGAGACUGGCUUGACAAUCUCAGACAUAAUGUCUUGGCUGCGGAGGACUUACUGGAUGAGAUCGACACUGAAGCUUUGCGAUGCAAGCUGGAAGAAGGUGAAGGUCAAACCCACAAUUUAACCAAGAAGGUACGUGAUUUUUAUCAACGCAUGAAUGUUGAGAUGAAAGAUUUAUUAGAAAGAUUAGAACAAUUUGUACAAGAGAAAAGUGCUCUUGGUUUGAGAGAAGGUGCUGGGAGGAAGGUUUCACAAAGAAGAACAACUUCCUUGGUUCAUGAACCUUGUGUCUAUGGUAGAGAUGAAGUCAAAGAAAAUCUGUUACAAAGAAGAGGAUUUGCCGUCAUCUCUUUCUCAUCUGAGUAUCUCGCGGUGUCCUGCCCUGGAGAAAAGGUAUAAGAAUAAGACGGGACAAGAUUGGGCAAAGAUAUCUCACAUUCCUUGCAUCAAGAUAGGAUACGAACUGAUCAUAUAAUAUGAGCUAUUCCAUAUUUCACUCUCAACCCUCAACUCUCAAAUCAAAGUCAGGUGAGGUAUGUGCCUUCUCUUACUUUAAAAAACUGCUUCUCUUCUUCUAAUUGAAUACAAAAACCAAAACACAUAUUCUCUUUCUCUUCCAAAAACCCAAAUACAUGUUGAACAUUGCCAAAUUUGAUCUCCAAAUUCCUAAUUAUUUCACGCUUUUUGUUAUUUUGUUGCUUAGUAAAUUAUGGUUGCUGGUCACAAAUUAUAGUCUGUUAAUAGGUUCAUGCCAUGAAUUAAUCUUUGGACUUUCCCAGGUACUGCAGGUUUGUUAUUAAUGUUGUGGCCUGAUAUUCGUCGUAUCAAUAGGUUGUCUUACGUUGAGGAGAGAGAUCGAUCAGCAAUUACAAAAUUGUUAGUGAAUUUAGCUUGUUUAUCAUCUCUCUCCUUUUGUUUGUUAAGUUUGGUUGUUCUAGGUUAAACCCUUGUCCCCGCAUUUCACAGCAACUCUAUGUUAUUCCACUCUGUUUAGUUUCAUUUAUGUUGUGAUUCGACUGCUGCUGUAUUUUAGAUUUCGUUCAUGUAAUGCUAGGAUGUUUAAUCUCUUAUCUGUGGUGGUAGUUGAGUAGUCUAGCUAAUCCAAUGAUAACUUGUCCCCUGUUUUGUAUUGUUUUUAUUUCUCUGGUAAUGAAAGCACGUUUCUUAUAAAUAAAUAAAAAAUAUUUCAUUGAUAUUCAUUGCUUAUUUUGAACUGCAGAAGCCUACUUUUGUCAGAGUCAGUAGAUGCCAGAAUGAAGUCAUUGCCUAAACACAUUGGCACCCUCACAGCCUUCGACAUUUUGGGAUAUAUGAUCUUCAAAAUCUUGUGUCAUUUGCCUCCCAACCUGCAAUAUUUUCAUAUUUUAAAUUGUGACAGACUGAGCCCUUUGGUGGGAGAUUACUGGGGUUUGCAAGGACUUGGUGGCAAUAUCUUGUAGACGUUUCUCAAGGAACAGCUGCUCAAUACCACUCUUCACACUCUAUAUAUUAUGGCCUGUCAGUCUAUAAUUCCUGCCAGGAGAGGAACUUGAACGCCUCUCUUCGCUGCAAAGGCUACAUAUUUGUGGGUGUGACAAUAUCCAAUUCCUGCCAGAAGAGUGUUUGCUGCCAUCUCUUUCUUAUCUGUGCAUCAACCAUUGUUUUGCCAUGUAGAAAAGGUAUCUCACAUUCCUUGCGUCAAGAUAGGCGAAGAAGUGAUCAUAAGAUAUGAGCUCUCUCUCCCUCUCGCUCACAUACAAUGUACUUAACACAAACACUCAAUCUGAUUUCUAUUAUUAUUUUGCUCAGUAAAUUUUGUUUAAAUUUGCUUUAUUUCUCAUUGCACUUGUUCUGCUGAUCACAACUUAUAUCCUAUUUAAAUCUCAAAUGCUGAAUAAUGAGCAGUCUUUUCGCAGGACAACAUAUCUUCUCUUGGAGAGCUAUUCAUUUGCAAGGUUUCUUUAUGGGUCAUUUCCAGAGGAGGGUUUACUAUUUAAUAGAAAGGUUCACCUGGAAUAUCUCAACUGACACAUUCCCAAAUACAGGCAUUGAAUGCACAACAUUUUGAGGUACUAUUUUUGUAAUAAAAAUGUACUUGAGUCUCAUUUGAGCUAGUUUAAAUUGUAUUCAAUGUCUAUGGAUAACCUGUGAGCUUAAGUUGUAAGAUAAAACUCACAGUAUAUUAUUAGGGUUUAGGGUUCAACUGUUCAACAGGUGAGCUUAAGUUGUACUUUCCUAGGUACUGCAUGUAUAUAAUCUUAGUAUCAACACUUGGUCUUAUGUGGACAAGAGAGAACAUUUGAGGAAUUACAAAAUCUUCUUAGUGAAUUAAUGUUGUUUCAGCUCUGUUUGUCAUCCCUCACAUUUUCUUUGUUAAGCCUUGAUUUUUUAUUAGACAUAAGAAAAAAUGCUUUUAUAAGACAGGAGAUGAAUGCUUUUAUAUGUUGAUGUCGUAGUCAGUCUUCAACCACACUCUGUUUUUAGAAUUCAUUUAUGUUACUAGUUGAGUGCUGCUGUAUUUUAUAUUUCGUUCCUGUAAUGUUUGGAUGUUUAGCUUGAGCAGUCUAGCUUAUCCAGUAGAUAACUUGUUCCCUGUUUUGUAAUGUUUUUGUUUCCUCUAAUGAAAGCAGGUUUUACUUAUCUUGAACUGCAGAAGCCUACUUUUUGACAUAGGUGGCAUGGCACAAACUCGCAUCCGCAUUUCCUUCCCCAUUGGCAUGCUGUCUCAUCUUUUGUAUUCUGUUACCAGCUUGAAGCUUGUGUAGACAUGUUAUGCUCUUGUAAUUCUGAUCACAAACAUCACUUGACAAAUGGAAAGUCACAAUCAGAUCUUUCAGGUGAUCGGGAGGUUUACUUUCUAACAUUUGUUUUCAUUGGGGGGAGGACAACAAUACAGAAUUUAAAAUUUCUGAUAAUCAAUAGUAGUUUGCAUAUAUCAGCUGGGACCUGUAUGACUGUAUUAUGUAAUUAAUUAUUUCUCUUAUUGUUUUGGUACUGUUAAAAGGAGUUAGCCACAAAAUAAAAAAGGAGGCCUCUUAUUUCAUACAAUUUUUCAAAAGUGAUCAUUCAUCCGUUUCUUUUUCAACAAUAGAGGAAUGUAUACUAAUCGUCUGGUCCAUCUGCUGCUUCACUCCCUAGUAGCUUCAUCUCCUGUCCUUUGCUUUAUUUCUGUUGAUGAAUGUUUUGUCUGGGUUAUUUAUUUUCAUUUCAUGUCCAUUGCUUCAUUUCUGUUUGGAUUCUGUCCUGGACUUGAACAAGGGUUAGGUUAGCUGUAUAAUUUGCGGUUUUAUAUACACAACUGUCUACAUUGAUUAAAACCAGCAUUAUUCUAAGGUUCAUUUAGAAUGUAUUAUCACCAAAAUUAUAAAGUAUACUUCUAUUACAAUUAAUUUGUUGAUUCUAAUUUGGACUUGUAGGAACAGACCAAACAUGUUCAUACGUGGCAUUGCUCAAGUCAUCAUCAUUCGGGACAGAGAAUAAGCCUUCAAAUGUCUGCUGAGUCAAUGAACCUUUCUAGAUAUCUCAAGUGUAGUGGAAAUUGAUGAGUUACAAAGGAUUUUUAAACAUUUUCUACUGGAGGCUAGAAAUGCUUCAAAUAAAUGACUGUGUUGCAAUUAUUUUGUAGGAUCAAAGACUCUGCAAAGAGGUAAGAAAGUCAUCAUCAAGUAACUUUGCUCUUCAAACUUUUUAAUUUUAUUUUUAAAUAUCAGUAAUAACUGGGAAAGUUUGCAUUUCCUUAAAUUGCUCAUUCUUACAUCUUUUAUAGUUUGUUGAUCUUGGGCAAGUGGAGAGAGAGGCGUCAAGUGAUACACAACAACCAUUUUCUGUGAGCUGAUUUGAUAAAGAGAAAUGGUAUGCUUUCUUGUCUUAAGCGGUGUGUUCUGCAAUUAUUUGAAACAAAGGAUGCCGCACUUCAAGUUCGAGAAAAUCAGGUAUUUUAGUAUUUUAUUCUGGAGAAAUUUGAUUUAUGUAGAAACUUGAACAUGUAAAUGAGAGAAAAAAAAAUUUAUAUAUAUAUAUAUUAUAUUGUAUAUGCUCUUAAUGAGUUAAUAUGGUGCUUGCUCCUGGUUGGAAAUUUAUGUAGUCAUCUACCUAUGAUCAAAUAAAGAUGAAAAAUAAAAUAAAAUUGAGAGCAUCUUCCUCUCCCCUGCUUUGCUCAUCCCUUGUUCUUCCACUUCAGCCCCACUAUUACACCAUUUUUUCAGCCACAAUUAUAAUAGCUCCAUGAGCAUUAAGUCCUUUUCAAAUUCUGCUGACAUUCAAAAUUGGAAUUGCUGGUGAUAUAUGAUAGCAUCCUUGUCCGACCAAAAAGAAAAAAAAAAAAAGUUGAUAGCAUAUUGUACCAUUUUGGCCAGUGUACGCAAUAUUAUUGCAUCCAACUUUGCAUAUUAACAUCAGUGGCCACAGUUCCAUGAUUUGAGUGCACAGAAAGGUUUCAAAAGUUGUCCCACAAAGAACAGUCGUUCAAAGUGAAAGAGAGUUUUCAAAGCUUAGUUACAAGUUCAUGUUAUUUACAAUAUCAAAAAGCUUUCAUACUUGCUUACAAACCUGUAUUUCCAAGUUCUGCAAACCUUGGAAUAUCACUUCAUCCAAAUCCCCUUCCAAAGCAGGAAAAAUGGCAGCAGCUUUGAUUGGAGAGGCUCUCAUCUCUGCUUCUAUCGAGUUGUUGUGUGACAGAGUUACUUCAGCCGAGUUCAUAGACUUAUUUCAGCAGAAGAAACUUGAUGAAACACUCCUCAUGAACCUGAAGACGACACUGUUGAUUUUGUUUGCGGUGCUCAAUGAUUCAGAGGAGAAGCAAAUUGUGAACCCUGCUGUGAGAGAGUGGCUUAACAGCUCAAGCAUGCUGUCUUUGAUGCAGAGGACUUACUUGAUGAGAUUGACACUGAAGCUUUGCGAUGCAAG